rnacentral:lncRNA from 1 species
AUAUAUAUAUAUAUAGAAGUUAGGUCUACUAUACUAUCUAUAGUACCGAGGCUCGGUACUAUAGUGUUGGUUUUCGAUCUUAGGUGCUUCAAAUAUCAACGAUCCACACCGUUAAAACUGAUCUAGGCGUAUUUAAAGUUUCUAAAAUAAAUUUUAUAUUUUUUCGAUCAUAGUUUUUACUUAUGAUCAAACUAUUUCAAAAUUGUCAAAUUUCAAUGGCUAUUAUGACGAGUUUGAGUUUAACGGUGUAGAAGAAUCUAAAUUUCUUCAAAUUUUGAUAGAAAAUACUUUAAACUAUAUAGAUUAAGGUUAACAUUCUUAAUCUUGAAUUUAAAGUCCUAUGCUCAAAUUUUAAAGAUUAUUCAAUUUCCACCGUCUAUUUUGAUAUAAUUUUUUACUAAGUAAACGAUAUCGAAAAAAACUAAAAUUUUAUUUCUAAGAAAUUCAUAUACCCUAGAUCAUAUUUAACGUGUGGAUCGUUGAUUUGAACGCCUAAGAUCGAAAACAAACACUAUAGUACGAGCUGCGUACUUAUAGAUAGUAUAGUAGCCUAAUUCUAUAUAUAUAUAUAUAUAUAUAUGAGUAAUGCUGGGGCUGCUAUUAGUAGUAGAAUGCUAAAGUUGCUACCGAUUUUCUGACUGUUGGAUUGCUUCGGCGAUCCAUGCAAGAAGGGGGCUAAUUUCAGUGGACAAACGAAGCUAACGGAGCCCCCCUUCGUUACCCUGUCAAUUCUCUCUCUUCUCUCUCCUCUCCAUUUCCCCCCAUUUCCCUAUUACCCAGUCAAUCUCUCUCUCUUCCUCUCCAUUUCCGCCAUUCCCGCUGUCAACCGUCUCUCUCUCUCCUCUCCAUCUCCAACGCUCAGCCAACCCCUUCUCACCCUCUCAUCGCUCGAUCUGCAGAAGCUGAGUCCCUCGCUCCAUCCUCACACCGCUCUCGCUCGAUCUCACGCUGAAUCUCUCACGUCGAUCGAUCUCAGGAAGUUGUGUUAAGAAGGUGAGCUUUGAUUUUUUUUUUUCAAAAAACAUUUAGUGUGUUUAGUGUUUAUAUUUUUAAUUAAAUUUUUUUUUCUUGCUUGGACCCUCUCAGAAGCUGAGUCCUCGCUCCUUACAUCGCACACGUCUCUUGCUCGAUCUCCGCGCUCAAUCUCUCACUCGAUCGAUUUGGCAGGUGUUGUUGAGGAAGGUGAGCUUUGGAUUUUUUUUUUUUUUUGAAAAUUUUAGAGAUGUUUUAGUGUUUAUAUUUUAAUUAAAAUUUUUUCUUGCUUGGAACUCUCUCCGUUCCUAAAAAAAAAAUGAAGUAUUUAAUUCAUACGUACCAAAUUUUUUACCUAAAGCUAGCAUUUUAAGACAUAUAAAUUCUUUAUUAUUCGAACAAGAUAAUAUAAUAUCUUUUAUUAUAGUUUAACAAUAAAAUCGUAUAGGCAACUACUAUUUGUAAAGUGUUCUAUCUAUUCGCAUGCAGCCUUUGUUUUUUUUUUUUUUUUUCCUUUAAAUGCUUUGAAGUAAUUUAAUAUUGCAUAUAUGGUUUCUACGUUACAACUCUGGAACACGCUCACUUGCUUAUUUCCUAAUUUAACUCCAUCUUUUGCUUUAUUUUAUUUUAUUUUAUCUGUAAGGAGUAUGGUAACAAAUUUGCAUGGGACCUACAUCUAAACUAGCUUGGCUUUUGCAUGUUAGUUCCGCAAUAGUAUUAAUUUCUUUGUUUGGCAUUGCAUAGCUAUAUUCGGCUUGGCUGGGAUCACAUCUAAUAUGUGCUUAUGAUUUUUUUUUUUUUUUGCUAUAAUUUAUAGAUGAAAAAGAGAAGAAUGCAAGAAUGCAACAAUCACAUACAGUCUUUAUGCUAUUGUGGAAAACAAGCAGUUAUCAAGAGUGUAUCAUACCGUGCUAAUCCUGGAAGACCAUUUAUGGUUGUGUUAACUAGGAAAAAAAUCUGAUGAAAAUCAUUGUGAAUUUUUAAGUGGUGCUUUUCAGAUUUUAUUGCGUCACAAGCGAAUUGUUCUGAGGUUCGUCAUGUAGAAAUAAAUCUGUGCGAUACAAAUCGAAGAUUCUCCCUGAUUUGUUUUUCUAUCAUCAACCAAUAGAUGAAGGAUAUAAGUUAAGUACAUUUAGCUAUGGCAUGUUCUAGCUUUUUUCACUGCCUUUCAGCUGAAGCUUAAUAUCUUUGUGGCUUUCUUUUCCUUUACAUUUGGAUUGUGGAGAUCUUCACUUGAACAACCCAACCAUACUUGAUUGUGAAAAUAUAGAAGCCGUUGUGAUGCUCCACAAUAUUUUCACUUUGAUCUUGUUUCUCUUUCAAGAUUCAUAGAGCUGAUAUUCCACACGACGUAACCUCAGAACAAUUCGCUUGUGACGCAAUAAAAUCUGAAAAGCACCACUUAAAAAAUUCACAAUGAUUUUCAUCAGAUUUUUUUCCAUAGUUAACACAACCAUAAAAUGGUCUUCCAGGAUUAGCACGGGUAUGAGACACUCUGAUAACUGCUUGUUUUCCACAAUAGCAUAAGACUGUAUGUGAUUGUGCAUUUCUUGCAUUCUUCCUCUUUUUCAUCAAUAAAUUAGCAAAAAAAAAAAAAAAUCAUAAGCACAUAUUAGAUGUGGAUCCCAUGCAACCGAAUAUAUGCUAUGCAAUGCCAAACAAAGAAAUUAAUACUAUUGCGGAACCUAACAUGCAAAAGCCAAGCUAGUUUAGAUAUGGGUCCCAUGCAAAUUUGUUACCAUACUCCUUACAGAUAAAAUAAAAUAAAAUAAAGCAAAAGAUGGAGUUAAAUUAGGAAAUAAGACAAGUGAGAGUGUUCUAGAGUUGUAACGUAGCAACCAUAUAUGCAAUAUUAAAUUACUUCAAAGCAUUUAAAGGAAAAAAAAAACAAACAAACAAAGGCUGCAUGCGAAUGAGAUAGAACACUUUACCAAAUAGUAGUUGCUAUACCGAUUUUUAUUGUUAAACUACUAAUAAAAAGAAUUUAUAUUAUCUUGUUCAGAAUAAUAAAAGAAUUUAUAUGUCUUAAAAUGCUAGCUUUUAGGUAAAAAUUUGGUACGUGAUGAAUUAAAUACUUCAUUUUUUUUUCAGGUUCUGAGAGGGUUCCCAAGCAAGAAAAAAAAAUUUAAUUAAAAAUAUAAACACUAAACACACUAAAUUUUUUUGAAAAAAAAAAAAUCAAAGCUCACCUUCUUCAACAGCACUUCCUGCAGAUCGAUCGAGUGAGAGAUUGAGCGCGAGAUCGAGCGAGAGAGGGUGUGAGUAAGGAGCGAGGGACUCAGCUUCUGAGAGGGUUCCCAAGCAAGAAAAAAAAAUUUAAUUAAAAAUAUAAACACUAAACACACUAAAAUUUUUUGAAAAAAAAAAAAUCAAAGCUCACCUUCUUCAACAGCACUUCCUGCAGAUCGAUCGAGUGAGAGAUUUAGCGCGAGAUCGAGCGAGAGAGUGUGUGAGUAAGGAGCGAGGGACUCAGCUUCUGAGAGGGUUCCCAAGCAAGAAAAAAAAUUUUAAUUAAAAAUAUAAACACUAAACACACUAAAUGUUUUUGAAAAAAAAAAAAAAAUCAAAGCUCACCUUUUUCAACAGCACUUCCUGCAGAUCGAUCGAGUGAGAGAUUUAGCGCGAGAUCGAGCGAGAGAGUGUGUGAGUAAGGAGCGAGGGACUCAGCUUCUGAGAGGGUUCCCAAGCAAGAAAAAAAAUUUUAAUUAAAAAUAUAAACACUAAACACACUAAAUUUUUUUGAAAAAAAAAAAAAAAUCAAAGCUCACCUUUUUCAACAGCACUUCCUGCAGAUCGAUCGAGUGAGAGAUUUAGCACGAGAUCGAGCGAGAGAGUGUGUGAGUAAGGAGCGAGGGACUCAGCUUCUGAGAGGGUUCCCAAGCAAGAAAAAAAAUUUUAAUUAAAAAUAUAAACACUAAACACACUAAAUUUUUUUGAAAAAAAAAAAAAUCAAAGCUCACAUUCUUCAAUAGCACUUUUUGCAGAUCGAUCGAGUGAGAGAUUGAGCGCGGGAUCGAGCGAGAGCGGGUGUGAGGAUGGAGCGAGGGACUCAGCUUCUGCAGAUCAAGCGAGAGAGGGUGUGAGAGGGGGUGGCGGGUUGGAGAUGGAGAGGAGAGAGAGAGAGAGGUUGACAGGGAAAUGGGGGAAAUGGAGAGGAGAGAGAGAGAGAUUGACUGGGUAAAGUUGGGAAAUGGGGGGGAAAUGGAGAGGAGAGAGAAAGAGAGAGAUUGAUAGGGUAACGAAGGGGGGCUCCGUUAGCUUCCGUUUGUCCACUGAAAUUAGCCCCCCUUCUUGCACGGAUCGCGAAGCAAUCCAACGGUCAGAAAAUCGGUAGCAACUUUAGCAUUCUACUACUAAUAGCAGCCCAGCGUUACUCUAUAUAUAUAUAUAUAGUGUAGAGACCCGCGCGAUGCAGCGGGUAGAUAAUAAAAAUAAAUUUUUAAUAUUUUAAUAAAAUUUAUAUUUACAGCUUAUAGGAAGCUAUAUCAUGUUAAGCACAGUCAAUUUACAUGACUAAAUUCAGUUGUUAAAAAAAUAAAAUAAUAGCUAGAAGUAUAUGAAAUACAUAAAUAAUAACUUAACGUAUUUGGCUUAAGAAAAUUUUGGUUGGCGUCUCAGGCUCCAAUCUCCGCAUCAUACUUUUUAAUCUAUGAAAGAAAUUUUGCCCACAACAGUAUCUACUCAAAAAAAUGAUCAUAAUAUGAAAAUAAAAUAAAAAACAUUAAUCUUAAAAAAAUUAAUAUUUUUUGAAGCACUUCUCUUACUCAUCCAAAUCUCAUAUAUCUUCUUAAUCUUCAGCUGGUAGUUGCUCCGCGCGCCGAGUCAUUUCUGAAUUUCUAUUGUAACCUAUGAACAAACACCUCAUCUGCAUCACCAAACUGCGAUAUCUAAACCGAUAUAGCCUUACCAUCACAUCAAUCACAGAAAUCCUUAUUCUUAAACAAUUUGAUUUACCAAGAAGUUCCUGUGAUUCUUGAGAAGCGAGCUCCUGCGCAACGUCGCCGCGAAGAGGAGGCUAGGACGGCGCUCCCCUCGGCCUAGUUGCGGGCGCGUGCGAGCCGUGCGAGGAGGCAGCCUAGGCUGCGGCGGUUCACGGCGAGCGACGGCUCCGGUGCAGACCAGCCCAGCGAGCACUUAUAUGGGCCGCGGCUGGACUUUACAGGACGAUAUUUUUGGAAGGAGACAAUGUUCUUCGCAUGUUCUUCUUCUUUAUCAUUCUCAUAAUCUUUGUUAACACAAUGAGAUAGAGAGAAGGAGAUAAGUGUGGGGUGAGAGAUUAGAUGAUAAUAUUUCUUUUUGCAUGAAAAAUAACAGGUCAUGCAAGAAAGAUGGGGUGAGGGGAUUAAUGGUGAAGGGGAGUAGAUUGGUGUUACAAAGUUCAUUAAUUGAUGAAAUAUAAUGUAUGUAAUUAAAUGUGGAGAGGUGAAGGGUUGAGCAUUUAGAAGUGGAGAUUAAUGGUGGAGGGGAAUGGAUUGGAAUUACAAAGCUCACUAAUUGAUAGAAUAUGAUGCAUGCAAUUAAAUAUGGAGAGAUGAAGGGUUUAGCAUAGCAUUUAGAAGUGAGGAUUAAUAGUGGAGGGGAAUGGAUUGGAGUUACAAAGUUCACUAAUUGGUGAAAUAUAAUGUAUGUAAUUAAAUAUGGAGAGGUGAAGGGUUACGCAUUUAGAAGUGGAGAAGAAACAUAAAUUUCAUAUUGGGGAUUUAUACAAGAGAUAAAUAUUAUCUAUUAACCUAGGAAUGAAGGGAUUCUUGCCACGUGGCAAGAAAUAUUGUGGAUUCAUUAUGUUUAAUAUAUAUAUAUAUAUAUUUAUAAUAUAUAUAUAUAAUAUAUAUAUUAGGGGUGGAACGAGCCGAGCUCGGCGAGCUUACUCGGUCAAAUUCGGCUUGAAAUUAAUUUCGAGCCUAAAUUUAAGCUCAAGCUUGGAUUAAUUAAUUCGAGCCGAGCUCGAGCGAGCCUAAUUUCGAGUCGAGCGAGCUCGAACCUAAACGAAGCCGCUUGAAAUUCUAACAUCAUACGAUAAUAGUUAAUUAUAUAGAACUUAUCUAUAUUUGAUACAAAAUAUGUCUAAUAGUUCAAAAUAUAAAAUAAUUAUAUAAAUAUAGUAUUAUAAUAUGAAGAAAAAAAUUUAUGAGUUUAUAAUUCUAAUCUUUUCAACCUCACAUGUCUUUUCUUCCGCCUUCAAUCUCCAUAUUUUCAUUUUAUUUAUGCAGUCAAAAAUAAAUAAUUUAUAUAGAUAAAUAUUGGAUUAAAUUAUCCAAUCAUAUAUAACUAAAAUUAAAAUUUUAUAUGAAUAAUAAUUUUUACUUUUAAAAAUAUUCGGGAUAUUUUUCAAGUAUACAAUUAAUAGCAAGAUAGGCAACGGCAGGCAUAUGCUGCUACUUGGAACUUGGAGGGCUUCGGCUUGGCCAAAUAGGGUGAGAGACAGAAAAGAGAAAGAGAGAACACAUUGAAAAUUUAAAGCUCUAUGAAGAAAGAAAGAAAGGAAAAAUGUAUAAAUUUAGUAAAUUUUGCUUUUUAUUUGUUAUUGGGUUUAUUUUUAUGGGCCAACAAUAUGGCCCAAUUUUAACUAAAUUCAGAUUAUUCACUCAGCUAUAGAUAAUUAAAUAUAUUAUAUUUUAUAUUAUAUAUAUUAUAUAUAUAUAUAUAUAUAUAUAUUAUAUAUAUAUAUAGUGUAGAACUACUAUGUUAUCGAAAAUAUAGAGGAUUUGAUGUUUUCGAAUUUUGACCCUUUGAUUAAGAAUUGUAUGAUUGGGAUGAUUGCGGUCCCCGUAGGAUUAAAUAAUAUCCCUAGAAUUGAGUGGUCCCUACAAUAUAAUAUAGUAUUAAUUCAAAGAAUGAUUAGUUGAUCUAAAAAUCAAAAAAUCGAAAGCAUCAGAUCCUCUAUACUUUAUGUUAUCGAAAAUAUAGAAGAUUUGAUGUUUCAUUUUUGACCUUUGAUUAAGAAUUGUAUGGUUGGGAUGAUUGCGGCCCCCUUAGGAUUAAAUAUAUUCUUAGAAUUGAGUGGUCCUACAAGAUAAUAAUAGUAUUAUUCAAAGAAAUAUAGGGUGAUCUAAAAAUUAAAAAAUGGAAAGCACCAGUUCUCUAUACUUUUGAUAGACAUAUAUAUAUAUAUAUAUAUAUAUUAUAUAUAUAUAUAUAUUAUAUAUAUUUCGAGCUUUUGAGCUUUUCGAGCCUAAUUCGAACGGCGAGUAAUACUCAAGCUCAGCUUGAAUGAAUUUCGAGCUUUUUUUUUUGUUCAAGCUCGGCUCAUUUAAUUUCGAGUCGAGCUUGAGCGAGCCAAUAUCGCAGUCGAAACGCGAGUCGAACGUUGAGCCGGCUCCGCGCAUUUGCGCGCCCUAUUAUUAUAUAUUAUAUAUAUAUAUAUAAAAUGGUAAAAUUAAUUCAUGCUCGGAUUCAAAUUGGAUACGGACAAAAUAUAUUGUUUUUAUUUAUACAGGCAAACCCUUUUUCCUUUUCUGUCAGCCCUGGCUCCCUCGGUCGAGCAGCAGCACAAUCACAGAGGGUAGGGACUAGUACCAGACUGGACUUGGGAGAUGGAAGAAGAGCUCCUGAAGCUUCCUCCGACGAUCCCGGAGGAGUCGCUGGCGCAAGUGCUGGAGUCUCUGUGGAGGACCCGCGAAACCGGGCUCGCCUCGCCCGACAAGUCCCGCAUCCAAUCCCUCCUCAACCUCCCCACGCCCCAACACCUCGGCCCCGUAACCCCCCUCUCCCCCAACCCCCCUCUCUCUCUCUCUCUAAGAAUCCCCAAUUCCUCGUGUUCUCAUUGAUUGCUUGAGAAAUGUACGGGCAUGAUCCAAAUUCGAGCAUGCGAACUUAAUAUCUUUGAUGGCUUUGAUGGCGGAGGUGCUUGUAGUGUCUUUAUGAUGUUUCUCUUUGUGCUCUUCGCUCUUUAAUGAAUGUGCAUAGGGAAUUAUAAGCCUAUAUCUUAAUUUGGAAAAAAAGAAGAAGAAGAAAAGUAGCAUAUUUUUUCACCAUCAUGCAAUCCUUUGAUAUGUUAGCUGAUGUUGGAACUUAAAAUUUUAGGUUUUAGCGUGCCUUCGCUCUAUCAUCAGGAAGUGUGUGAACGAAAAGCUCGCAGGAGAGAAUAUCCAGAAUGUAUUACCUCAUGAUCUUCCUGCGGAACUCAGAAAUGUUCUUGUCUUGCUACUUCAGAAAUAUCAGAAUCAAUGGAUGGCGGAAGCGACAAAGGACCAGGUGUUUUAUCGAGAUUAUUUUUCGGAGGUUUCUUUGCGGCGCACAAUGUUUAAAUUGUUAAUGAUUGGGUCCCAAACCUUUGUAUUCUGAUGCAAUCUAAUCAUUUUUCUUCGUGUGUCUCGGUUGAAUUGGAGAGAAAUGCGCUUGUAUUGUCUAUUGUUAAAUUAUACGAAAGUGUCGUUUUUCUCCAAAAGCUUAAGAUACUAAAUAUUCAUCACUCUCCCUCACGUCUGGGCUCGUGACUUUUUAAUAGAACCAGGAGGUGAACUUGAAUUAAACGGAAGGAAAUUAAAUAACGCUAGGACCCUGGCGGGACUCAAACUCCAGACCUGUUGUUCUUAUAUUACAUUAAAUUAUGCGAAACAACCGUUUUCCUUCAAAAGUUUAAGCUGCUAGAGAACGGUGUUUUUAAUUUUGGGGCUCUUAUAUGACAAGUAGAUGAGGUGGAAAUUUCUCUCCAAUUUUGUGGAGGAUAUAUGAUUGUGGCAAAACAUAUGGGUUUAGGACCCCAAUUGUAACAAAUUGAAAGGUCGGGGACCAUACUGGAACUUUAAGGACCAAGAAGACAUAGAAAGCAUUUCUUAGAUGAUAAUUUCUUUCUUAACAACUUACUGUACUGUUCUAUUUCAAGAAUUUUGUGUAUUCUGGUUUUCCCAGCCUCUUUGGCAGAAAACACGGGUGUCAGAUCAAGUUAAAAUCAACAGACUGCCUCCUUUUGCAUCCUCUACAGCAUCGGAACUAUCAUCGUUACUUUGGCCGAGGGAAGAUGAUGCAACCGCUUACCCUAAGAGCAGUAAUACUGCGAGCAAUGUUGUAGCCAAUCUUCCAAGCUUGUCUUCAACGCCACAUAAUCAAGAUCAUGGUUCCCUGGACGGACUGGUAAAUGAUUAAAAAAUUGAUUUAACGAUACAAGUAAUUGAUGAUCGCUUCUGUAAUUUUGUGGUUCAUGAAAAUGAACAUGAUUUGUCCUUUUUGUGUGUUUUGAUGCAGUUUGUAGUGAUAUCAGUCCGAGUAGUAUCAAUUAACAGAGUAAUUUUAUGCAGUUUGUAGUGAUAUCAGUCCGAGUAGUAUCAAUUAACAGAGUAAUUUGAUGCAGUUUGUAGUGAUAUCAGUCCGAGUAGUAUCAAUUAACAGAGUAAUCUGAACACUCGCCAGCUAUUAGUAUCACAUUGGUGGCAUUCAUUUUAUAUAAGUCUCAGUGCGGCCGCAAGUUUUUUACGAGACAAAUGUUUUGCAUAGCACAAGUAAAAAGAAACCACUAUUUUGUUAACUAUUAGAUGGUUCCUUCUGUUUUACGUAAGAAUAUAAAGAUUGCUCGUGCACCUGCCCGUCCUUCAAACAGAAGCAAAAGAAACAUGAUAUCUACUCUUUGCCAUAAACUGAAGGUUACGAAGCAAGUUUACUACUACAUAAGUUGAGUUCGUUUUUCUUUUUUCACAUACAUACACCUCGGUAAAUGAUUAUGUAUACUCUAGAUUCUACCUCUUCUAAAUGGAUGUUAUCAUUAGCCAUUGGUGCUGCAUGUGUAUUUCAAAGUUUUAUUAUGUGCAAAGUUUGUAGUUUUGAAGUGAUAUCAUUUUAUUUUAGAAAAAAAUUAACAGAUAUAUGUAGACAAACAUUUUGUUUCAGGCAACUUGCAAAAUUUAUUUCUAUGGUGUACGUUAAAAAUAAUUCCAUCUAGCAUCUGUAGGCACUUUUUGCUAACACUAAGUAGUGCAUUGUGUUUUGGGUUGAGUUAAAAAAAAAAAAACUUGUUUACAACAAAAAGUUCCACGGACAUUAAUCUCAGUAUUUCCUACAAUAAUUUAAAUAGGCACUUAGGCAGAUUCCCAAGCCUAUCAAGCUCUAUAUCAAAGCAGCCUAUAAUGGCAUGAAAUCUACUGCUGAAUCAUUUGCUAGGAACAGCUAUUUUUGUUAUACUUGGAGAAUUUAUUUAUGCUUUAUGGAAAUAAUGCAGACAACUCUUCCACGCCUCAAGUCAAUGACGUGGACCAUGGAGAAAAGAAAUUCAGCACCAGCAAAUCGCUUGGCUAUCAUUACACUGAAGGUCCUGUUCUUGUUAUCUUGAACCUUAUUCUGACUUGGGUGUACCUUAAACCCUGUUUCUUUUUUUCUUCAGUUUGAGUUUGAUAUCUUGUCAUGAUUUCAAAGAGACGCAAAUGCUUCAGAAAUCUGUGUACAUAUUGGAAAUUUUUCUGUACUCUACUAGGUGAAGAUGCUCCAUAUAGAUAUGGAAACUACGAUUAGUUUCUGGAUACGCGUAAAUGUAAGAAACAGCUCAAAUAGUUUGAUUAGGGAGGAUGAUUAAAUUCCACGGCUUGUGGCUACAAUAAAAAAAGCUUUUUGAGUGGUCCUUUCAAGAGGAAAAAAAUUUCAUUGCACCUCUUAGUGUGCCUAGCGAAUUCUUCUGUUGCUGAUUUUGACCUUGUAAUAUUUGACACGGGGUGCUUACUUUGUUCUUCUUUCUUACAUGGCUCUGUCCAUUACUUAUAAAUUGAUAGCUUGUGAAACUUGCAGGAACAACAUGGUCGUUUCCAUCUUUUGAAUAUAUCUAACUCCUUUGCCCUUGUCUUUGUAUUUGCAGCUCCAAGAUUAUUCAAAGUCUUCCUCUGGGGAAAUAGAGGUGAAGUUUCAGCUUUCGAAAGACUCACUCGAAGCUAUGUUAAGAUCGAUGACACAUCUCACCGAACUGCUCUCGAAUUCUGUAUGACCUUAACUCAAUCUUAGAACAUCAUUUUAUUUUGAUGAAACUAUAUUUUAUCUUAUGUUUAUUCUUGUAAGUCAUUUAUUUUUUAUUUUUUAUUAAAGUAGAAGAUGAAGUGCCUUUACAUGGUUGAACUUCUGCUGAUUUCCUACAAAAGAAGCUUCAAGUUUCUUGCUAUCAGGGACAGUGCAAUUUGUUCUUAGCGAGAAAUUUUACUUUUGCAUUAUAUCAUCAACAUGUGCUCCAUUAGACUGCUGCUCUAUUUAAAAGAAAAGGAGAUUUGAAGAUUGAAAGUUUAGACACUCGUUUAGUGCACACUACAGCGGUAAAACUAUUAGGAUCAAGUUGAAAACUUGAAGUAGGUUCCUUUACUUGCCCCUCAAAUUUGUUAUACUUAGAUGGAAUAGGUUCAUGAAGCUCUGCCCCUUGGGCAACCUUUAUUUUCUUUUCAAGUUGCACUAAGAAAUCCCAUAUAAAAUACGUUGCCAUCCAUCCACAUGUAUUAAUUGUCUCCAGAUAAUUUAAUGCAAAUUCAAUGUGAUUUGCGACAUUUCCAUAUAUAAAAGUAAAUAUAAGGUUGUUUAUUUGUUUGACAUCUAACGGGACAAAAAUAGUGCAAAUUCACCCAGAUUUAUUUUUAUUUUACAAGCUCUGUACAUUUUAAGAUUUUGAAUUUUCUUUUUAUGACCUUGCUAUUUGCUGGUAGGCCGCAUCACCAUUGGAACCAUCGGCAAAGAAGCAGAAACAGUGACUGAAUGCUGGACUGUUCAUCCUUCGGGAUCUUGACGGUUCUUUCUAUCACCGAAACAAUACUUUCAUUUUUUGAAAGAAGAAUCGAGAAUUAAACAUCCUGACCAAUGUCGACAGCACUAUGAAAACUAGCUAGGAUUUUGUAUUUGGUUCAUUAGAUGACUUAGCUGCUGCAAAGCAAGAUCAUAAUGCUUUAAGGAUGUGCUUGUUAAGAUCACACCAUUGUAACAUCUGAAAUAUUUUCUGGGUUCCAAUUAAAAUAAUUUCUUUCUGAAAAUCCUUUGGUUUCUUUGGCUUGUUGGACUUUUUUUUUUUUUUUUUUUUUUUUUUUGUUUUUGGGCUCGAGCUAUAUCAAGCCUGUUUUGUGCAUGAAUUGCAGAUGGAUGGAUUACAGAUAAGUACUCCAAAACUUUCCCUGAUGAAUAAUCUGUCAUUAACUGAACAUGCUGAGACAUUUUUGUUAACUUCAUGCUCCUUUCAGGUAAAAAGGCAACCGAAAAAUUACCAACUCCUUUUUGAAUACAAUAUACAUUGGUCCUCUUCCUACAGUAAAUUUCUGGAUUAGAAACUUGAAAAUUAAUUGAUGUAGCACUGCUGUGCAUAGUGCUUUAUAACAUAAAAGUAGCAUUAAAGAUUUGUAACGUAUCUUCGAUUCGUGCAGUCUUAUAUAUGAGAGCUUCCUACAUUACUCUUAGCUCUCAGAACCAAGACACAGGCUAAGUUUCUCAUAAUUAUCAUUUUUCAGCUGAGAUAAAAGGAUUGCAGAGAAUGAGCGAGCUAAAUUGGUCGCAGGGACGACAGGACAACAUCCUGAAGAGAGCUAUCUCUCAGCAUGGCGGCUUUGAACUCGUCGAAGGUGACCUUCCCAUCAUUGUUUGCGUCCAUCUGAUCGAAUAUCUCAUCCAGCUUUCCUGGCUCAGUUAUAUCAGCCGGAAGACAAUCCUCGGGCAACGCCUGCAACAUACAUCACCGUUUUGCUUGAUUUAAUAGAAAUUUUGGAGUAUGUUGUAGAGAAAGGAUAAAAGAAAUAGUGGGGAAAGUUUACUCGAAGCAUCGACGCCAAUUCUUCCUUACUGAUGGACCCUGAUCUGUCCGUGUCAUACAUCUGAGCACAUAAUGAGGGGUCAGAUACAUCGGAAAAAAGCUGAACAAGCAUGGAUUGCUCUAGAACAAUCUUAUUUAGGGGUAAAUUAUAUGGAUAGUGCCUCUCUAUCCCAAUAUAAUGACUUAGUUCGUGAACUUUCCAUUUAAAUACUUUUAAGUUCUGGAACUGCUUUAUGUAUAGCAAUUUCAUAAUUGGCCACUAAAGGAAAAAAAAAAAAAGGAAAAAGAAAAGGAAAAACAUGAUUUUAACGGUUAGGAAUGAAAUUGCAAUAUAUGAGAAGGUUCAGGGACUAAAAAAUUUUUAAGUAAAAGGUUCUGGUACUAGCUCGCCAUAUACGGAUAGUAUUGGGAUAAUCCAUGCACCUAAUCCUUAAUGACUACAAAAUAAAUAUUACUUGUAGUAAGUUUCAUAGCUUUCAUUUUAUUCAUGGCUUAGCAUGGACUGAAUCACUGAAUCAUUUUUGUGUCCCACAGGUUCUCUCCUGAACCAUUUUCUACCGACCUCCUUGAAUCAAAAUCAAAUGCAAGGAGAAAAAGAAUAUUAAUCCGAGCUGACCUGAAAGCAGAGUUGGAGAGCGUCAUCUCCUCGCGAAUUUCUGAGACUGGAUAGCCCACACAGAAUCUCCCUCAUGUCCACGGUUCCAUCGCGGUUGUUGUCAAAUAAAUCAAACACGCGAGGAGCCAGAGGAAUAAGUGAAUCCAUUUUCAUUGCUUUCAGUACUUGCUCAAACUCGCUCAGUGUAGCAUUCUCCCCGUUCGAACAUCUGCACUUGGGAGUAUUCAGUUUUCUGAAUCUGGACAGAUUCUUUAUUGACUACAUAAGCUUUCUCUAGCUCAUUAUUAUAGUGUUCUAGUAGUUGAAAGACUCACAUUCGUCUGAAGUGCAACCGCAGUUUCUCUAGUUCCUCUUGUGUGAGAUCAUGGGAUCCAAGCAAACUCUUCAAUUUCCUUGUUCUCAGUGUGACCUUGCUGCUCAACACACUGGCUAUCGCAGCUGCGCGCAGUUUUCUCCGCGCGUUGAAGCUUUGCAGUUUGGAAACGACCUCUGCAUCCAUGAGAUCUUGCUUUGCCGAGUCUCCUAUCACCCAAGGAUGCUUUAGAAGCUGUUUCCAUACAAAGUUAUAGAACUAUCAAACUUCGGCACUAGUUUAAAGAAAAGGUAUUUCCAGAUAUAUCCUUGCAGAAUUUUCUCUUACAUAACAAUCCCUGCAAAAACUGAAUUUUGAUAUUUGUUUUUCAAAAAACUCGAUUUCCUAUACAUGUAUACCCUUGUACUUACUAAAGUCGCAUUCUUUAUAAAGCUAUUUCCAAUCGAAGACCAACUUUCGCCAUGACUUGGAUGAUUCUCCAGGUUACUGUAGUGAUAUUUUUGUAAUGGGUAUACAGUGAAAAUCAUAUUUAGGACAUACAUACAAAUAACAGAAGAAAGUGCAAAACAUACAUCAUCAGCUGUCGGUCUUUUAUACGGCUCGACAGACAGAAGGCUGGAAAUCAAGUCCUUUGCAGAUGAAGUUACAGUCUUCCAUGUUUGAUCCUCAAAGCUGUAUUCACCCUGGAGAGGAAGAAUGUCUCAAGUGAGUUUGGAAAUCCGGAAUCAUAGUGAGCACAUUCCAGUAUGAAGACAAGUGUGUUAUGUUAUACCGAAGCGAAUUUAAGUGGAAUAGCAUAUUUGGUUUGCGAGAUAUCACAUCCAGUAAUUGUAUAAUUUGUACUCUGAUACCAUCUAUCAAUGAUUCCUAUAUAUGUGGCUUGUGAAUUGAAUUCGGCCUGGUACAACAUUGACUUUGUUUUCUCAUUGCCUCAAAUAACUCUCUCAUUUUUCUUGUUAAACCAAUUAUUACCUUAGUAGUGUGUUACAUUUAUGAAAUUCUUUUCUAGAAAUCCCAUGUCUCAAGGAAAUAUAAGAGCUGAAUCCUUUUCUUUCUGAAGCACUGGACACAAUAUCAGGGCCUAUUUCGAUAGCACGCCGAAUGCUGUUUUACAAUUCCUUACAGUUGGUAGUGCUUGGCUGCUCAAAGGAAAGAUUGAUAGAAGAACAAUAAUUGAUUUAUGUCAAUCCAUAAACAGCUAAAACUGCAGUAACUUAAGCUUCUUAGUAGGUAAAAGCCUUUUCUCUGUUACAUUGUAAGUUGAACUAUGACCAACAGAAUGGACUCAGAAAAUGCCAGAUGAAGAACUACUGAUGAACUUACAGCUAAAAUCCUCUGCUGCUUGUCCCGAUUUGUCGGUGCAUGAAAUGGAGGGCACCUGAAACAUUAAUGAGGAAACAAGAAUGAAAAGUUGAAAGAGGCAGCAGCAGCACUCCAAGAAAACUAACUGCAGAACCACAGCAUUACCCAGAUAGAAGGAUGUAAAGAAUCACCCCAAGAGACCACAUAUCACUCGCAGACGACACCUCGCGCCGCGACAGAGCUUCAGGCGAGACGUAAUCAAUCGAUCCAAACAACGCAACAAUCGGAUCGGUGAAAUCCUCUACCGAACUCAGCCCAAAGUCCAUGAUCUUAAGAGGAGAGCGCGAUCCGCUGUCCGAGAACAAGCAAUUCUCGGGCUUUAGAUCGCGAUGAACGAUGUUUGCUCUAUGAAGAGCCGCGAGGCCAUUCGCAAUUUGGUGGACUACCACCGCAGCUUCGAACUCCGAGUAGCGCGGUUGAGCGACUAUCCGGUCGAAGAGCUCCCCGCCGGAGCAAAGCUCCAGCACGAGGUGAACUCCGCUGCCGUCUUCAUAGACAUCAUAGAGGUUGAUCACAUUAGGAUGAGGGGAAACAUUCUCUACAAUCUUCCUCAUGACCAGGAUUUCAUUCGUCAGCAAGGCGUCGGAUAUCGAGACUUGCUUCCACAUGUUCAGUGCCGCAGCAGCCGCGAUGCCCUUCUGAACUCCCGGCGGUGCGAAUCCGAAUCUGCGCAGGGUUUUAAUGGCAACAUCAGUCUUCUGCUCACCAGAUUUGCUGAAACCUCUUCUGACAACAGAGAAGCCGCCUCGGCCGAGAAUGUCAGAGACUUCAUAAUCAUCAGACAGCUUUCUAAUCCCCUGCCUCGACAUUUACUACUCGAAUAUCUGGCGCUGAAUAUUAAUCAAAUGCAAUCGAAAAUUAGAUUACAGUAGUAGAACAAAAAUUCAUCUGUCUCCUCAACUAAUUAAGACCCCAAAUGCUUUGCAAAAUUGAUGAGGAGGACACAGCAAUGAUUGGGCCCAGAAGAGACAAAUGCCAAAGUACAAGUAGAAACUGAUAUUGGGGAAGGAGUAAUAAGGAAUAUAAGAAAAAAAUAUGUAUAUAUAUAUAAAUAUAAAAAUACCCAUUGGCAAUUGUUGGAUUGUUUAAGAACAAAAUAUGGAGGGUAGAGAAAGGGAGGCAAAUGGGGGAUUAAAGAAAUGGAGAAAUUGGGGGAGGGUUUGGUGGAGUUAGUGCCUGUUUGUUUUCUUUUAAAAGAGAUGCCAGAGUAAUGGAUUAACUCGUAACUUCGAAAAAGUUGCAACAUUUGUUUCAACACCAAAAUCACAAAAUCAUUCAAACUUUUUUUAACAAAUGGGCUUAAUAAAUUUAUAUUUGCAUCAAUAGUCUCUUCUUAUCAUACGAGCACUUAGGUGGUGUUUUUAAAUGAAAUACUACACGGUGACGUGUUCUUUUCUAUAUUUUUUAUUCUCUCUAAAUAAAAAAAAAAAAGUUAAAAUAUGGAUAUAAACACAAUGAUACAAUCAUCGUGUUUAACUUAAAAUUGUCAAUUUUAUAGAUGUAUAAAAGGUAUUGGUCAAAUUUUAUAAAAGUUAACUACAAGAGGACAAUUUAUUUGUAAUAUAUCGAUUGGCGAUGACAUUAGUUUGGCUGCCGAAGGCAUUUCAUUAACUUUAAUGAUGGAGUGAAAACACAAAAAUACAAAAUUAAUUAGAAAAAAAUAAAUCGAAUGAAAUAAAAAAUUUCUAUCUGAUAUAUUUUCAAAUUUUGGUUCAAUUUGAUUUUUUUUGGUUUUAAUAAAUAUUAAUUUACCCAAUUUCAUUUAACAAGUUGAUUUCUUUUGUGGACUCUGUAAAUCAAGUAAUAUAUUAUUGUUAGAUAUUUGAUUUGAUGUAGUCACAUUCAUAAAUCAUAACCAUAUAUAUACAUCUAAUCAUAUAUAUCAGAAAGUGAGACAUAUCUACGUACAUACAUUACAUUACAUAUAUACAGAGUUGAGCUGAAAUACUAUCAGUAGCAAAUGGACUCCGUUGCCACCAAUUUAUUUUUGAUAAUGGAGCCUCCAAAUCGUCGAUCGGUAUCGUUGAACAUGAUCUAUAUCAUUUGAAAUAUCUAAAAAUCAAAUUUUAUGCUUUUCCGAUAUUAUUUUUUUGUCCAUCAAGUGGACACAAAAUGAACGGCUAAAAAUGAAUAUUCUUUAAAAAAUGAUGAUAGGAAUCUUGUAAUCAAGAUGGAGAAUAUAGAUCUUGUUCUAAAUAGUUUAAAGAAUUUUCUAGCCAAAAUUAAAUCGAUUUGAAUAUCUUUAAAAUGUUAAAUGAAAAAACGCCUCAUAUCGAUCAUUAAAAUUACAAAAUUUGAAACUCUUUGAUCAUUAGGUCAAUGAUGUCAAAAAGAUAUAAAAUUUAAUUUCUAAAUAUUUUAAGUGGUAUAGAUCAUGUUCAAUGAUACCAAUCAUUGAUUUGGAGGCUCCAUCAUCGAAAAUAAAUAGAUAGCAACGAGACUCGUUCAAUCGUUUGCUACUAAUAGUAUUCUAACUUAACUUCAUAUAUAUAUAUAUAUAUAUAGAGAGAGAGAGAGAGAGAGAGAGAGAGUUAAAGUCAUACUUUGAUUUCAUAAUUUAAAUUAAUUACCUUAAUUAAUUUUUAUAGUUACAAAAAUAAAAUAAAAUAUAUACUAAUUAAACCUAUAAAGGUCGACACAUUCAAACAUUAAAAUUUAAAUAGCCUUUGACUCACUUAAAUCAAAUAAAUUAAUAGAUUAAAUAACAAAAUCAAAAUUUUUAAAAUUUGGUUAGCUAAGUAAAAAUGAUAUACAUAAUUUAGAUAAAUUGUAUACAUUUUUACAAUAAAUUAAAUUAGUUUUAAUAAAAAAUAAAAAAAUUAUUAAAAUAUUAUAAAUUGUGAACCACAUGACCUCUUAAUGGUAGAGAGGAAUGUCAUAUAGCUCCAAAAAUGAAUAUAAACAUUCAAAAUAUAAAUAGGCUAAAUAUUUCAAUAAGCAAAAAUAAACCUUCUUACACAAAAAACUUUGGUGCAAAAUAAGUUUGUCAUUGAAUAUUUUAUUUCAACAUCCAUGCUUCCAAGCCUUAAUCUGAGCAAUUACUAACAAGGCAACCAAACAUAGCAGUGAUAACCCUUAGAAUCAAACACUCUUUUUUCGAGAAAACAUAAAAAACUAUUUUCCACACAAAAAAAAAAAAAAUCAUAAAAACAACACUUCUUUCACACUUUUUAUUUUCCGAACAGCAAAUUCCUAAAACAAAAACAUUACUUUUCAUAAAUUUUGAAAGAAAAAAAUUUCUACAAAUACUACUUUUCUUAAAAACCAAGUGGCCGAAAAAUACUUAGCAGACUACGGAAAGCUUAUUUAGAAAGCACAAAUCAUCUUAAAAAGCAGUAAUCUCAGAUUUAACUAACUUAGGCUUCCCUUUCAGGUGGUGUGGUUCCUCCACUAGCUAUUUGGAGAGUACAGAACAAGUUCGUCGAUUAAGAAACACCGAAUUUACGAAUAAAAACAACAAACACCUAAUAAAAGAGCACAUUGAUAUGAUAACCACAACAAAACGUCUACAACUGAAACUGUUGUCUUAAAACAGCAGUUCUGCCUCAAAAUUCUGCAGACAAAUACAAAAACCAGUAGCCAAGCAUACGAAUGAAUCUAGGCACAAACAACAUGCUAAAGUUCUUUGCUCACUGCUCACCAGGGAUGCUCUUGAGGAUGUCCGAGUCACCUGAAUGAUACAUUACACGACAGUAAGCCAUUAUCAUUCAGAUCGAGAUUAAUCUCGAUAUUGAUAUCGGGAUCGAUGUAUAUAUGUAGAAAAGAGGGAGAGAGCAAAACCGGGGUCAAUAAUGCUGAGGCAGCAAACGCGGAAAUAUUUGCCACAAGCUGUUCCCAGAUCAACAUUGUCUGACCGACAAAACCAACAAAUUAACAAUUAACCAUAAACGGUGCGGCCUAAAAUGGAGGUGAUGUCGAAUUAAGAUAGGUACGAAGAUACAUAACUUAACCUAAACUGUGAACCAUUUUGAGUUGGCUACCCAACCAUUCAAAAUCUUAAUUUUCCUAUCCAACCUUUCAAUUUGUUUGAUUUGAGGCAUUUUGACUUCAAAUUUUGAAUGUGUUAUUUAUCUACUUCAUGCAAUUCUCGCAACUGUAAAUAAAUUAUAGUAAGUAAUUAGCUUAAACUUUAAAGUCAAAGUAUCGUUGACUGACUCACAUCAAACAAACUAAAAAGUUGGGUAGUAAAAUAAAAAUUUUGGAACGUUAGGUAGCCGAUUCAAAAUGGUCCAUAAUUCAAGUGGGUUCUGUACAUCUUUACCUCUUAGAUAAAAUGAGUACUACUACACACAAAUUUGCAAUUCCAAUACUUGUAUCUCAUUAAAAGAAAGAUUGGCAGUCAAUUUGAUGGAGAACAAACCAUAACUUUCAAUCAACAAAAAAACAAAGGAAGAAAAGAAAAAUGAAAGAGCGUGCUACGAACAACUAUAUCAAAAUGACAAAAAUCAACCAAAUAUAGUUAUAUAAGGAGAAAAUGAUAAGAUGCAUUAUAUGAGCUUAUCCACCUUCAUGAGUGAGCAAAGAUAGAAUGAAUACUUACUUCCAUUGAAGUGAUGUACGCCGACCUUCGCUAACAUUGCAUAGUACUCUAUCUCAGACUUUCGGAGUGGAGGGCAGUUGUUUGCAAUAAUUACCAAUUUCCCUGAAGAUAAUAGACACAAAUAAUUUUAACGAAGUUAAAAUUUAAAAAAUAUUGCAAAUAGUCUUCCCAAAAUGACUCUCUAACAAAACAAUCCAGUGGAAUAGAGUAAAGCACAUUAUGAAGACAUCAUUACCAUUAACUGACAACAAGUUGACAAGCUUAAGAAUUUUCAAAAUAUCCAACAAGUCAAAAAUACUAUGAGAAGCAUUGUAUUCAAAAUGGAAAACACUAACAUCAAACUUUAUGGAAAUGUGAGGGAUCUACUUUGCAAGGAAAGAUGAAUUUGAAUAAUAAAGGGGUAAGUCUUGGGGAGGUGCUGAAACCAAAAUCGGAUGUUUUCAUUUAUCCUGGUCAGACUUGGAUGUUUAGUUUAUACUGGCGCCACCAGAAACUCAGAUUAGAACCAAAUAGCUCAAUAUGAGUCAAAAUAGCCCACAAUAACGGCCGGUCUCAAGUACUAGCCAAAAUUGCCUAGCAGGAAAAGAAAUUACAAAAUUAAAAAAAUGCCAAAGAUCGUAUUUCUCUUCAUGCUUAAGGUCAAGGAAGGUCUUCACACUCUGAAUGCAGAGUUUUAAGUAGAAUAAGUCAAAACCUUUGCACCAAUUCGCAAAUUUUAUCAUACAUAUGGCAACUAAGAGGAAAAUAAUUUUUAUAAUUUUUAUUUUGUUAAUUUAACUUACAUUAUAAGAGCAGACAAUAAUAAGAACCUCAGGAAGUGUUUGAUAUUCACAUAAAGACAGUCUAACAUUACUUUGAUAAUCAGAGUAUUGACCCAGAGUAUACGACUUUUUCUGGCAAUAUGCCAGAACAAUCCAAGUAAUCUAUAUGACAACUCUUUGUACUCCUCUCCUCUCUUUUAAUGCACCUCUAUAGCAAUCAAAACCAAUUACAAAGAGAUUAACAGUGCUAUAAAACAAAUUUUGCUCAAUGUAAGCUGCAAUUAACUCAUGGCAUGUUGUGAUUUAUUAACCUAGGGAUGAACACAGUGACUGACAACAACAGUCAUACACUGUAAAAAAAGAUGUGGUUGUGAAAAAUCUAUCAAAUGGAUAACUGUGGAUCCCAAUCAUCGCAUACAAUUAGACACCAAGCAAACAACCUGCAGGCAAGUACAGAUACUGCAGCACUUCUUCCAAAAGAAAUAUUUUCCCUAUAUCCAAAAGUUAAGUGCCAUCAUUUAAGUGCACUACAGUCAUACUAUGCCAAAUCUCAAUUAUUGAUUAGCAUUUCUGUUAAGAACACGUCUCGAAAAAAUAAUUUAAUCAGUUAACUUAUGCGAUCAGAAAAUAUGUUGACAUAUUGUAACUUCCAUUUUCUUAAGCCUUCCACAAGCUGCAUCACGAGUAAUACCAUGCUCGCUCCCGGCGGCAGAUGUGAGUGCAAGCUGGAUGAUGGGAGCUAAAUAAUCAAGAGAUUUACAAAUCACGGGGAGAUGGAUCCUGCACAUUGCCCAAAGAAACCAAUCACUUCAAUCCAGAUUCUAAUCCAUGGAGUGGGCAUUGUGUUAUUCUUACUUCAUGUGUCAUCCACCAAACAUUACCCUAGAGAAAUAAAGAAUCUCUAGAUGAAUUACGGAGGUAGGUACGUUUAUAUAGGGAGCUGCAUUCAUCCCUAUGGCGUGAAAGAAAUAGCCAAAGAACCAAACUCCAGUCCCAACUACAAAGAAUCUUCUUGCAUUAAAAAUUUUCCGAAGAGAACUAGUAAGGCCUAAUUUAGGAUUUCUUUAAAGACCCCCCCAAAAAAAAUCCAACGCCACUUCUGAUCUCUGCUUAUCCCAUUCUGUGACAAGACGGCAGAAACCCCGACAGGACAUGCUUCUCUAGCAGGUGUUUCCGCCACCAUUUCAUAUCAUAUGCAAGUGGAAAUCUAAGGAGCUUUCAGGUUUUUUACGAUUCUAAAGCAUGAAAGCGCCAACAUUUCCAAGAGAUGCAAUCUUAAACAAGGCCACAAUAAUGCUCCAAACUCAAUCUCUCAACACGAAGCCCGUUUCCCCACAACUACACAUUGGAAUCAUCCCAAACAAUAAAUCCAUAAAACAACGUACAUCAACCAAACCCGAUCUACUGUUUCAAUCCCAUUUAUCCACAAUACACCAACCCACAUCAAUUUAGCAUAGAUAACACGAUUAGAAUGAUCCAACAGAAAAAGAAAAGAAGAAGAGAUAUAUCAAAAACCUUUGGAAGUACGGAGGGAUCUAAGGACCGUCUUGUACCCAAGCGUAUACUUCCCACUCUUCAUCACCAGGGCGAGCCUGUUGUUGAUGCUCUCGGUGCUCUUCUUCUACAUUUCGAUCAAAAAGCAACCAUUUUCACACCAAAAAAUCACCAAAAAAUGCUAGAGACGAAAUCAACGGAGCCAUGAUCGAUCCAAAUUUGGUUUUAAUGGUAGAAGAUGAUCGAUUAUUACCGUCUUCUUCACGGGCGCCAUUGGAGAAGCUCCGAGCAGAGGAGGCGGCGGCGAGAGGAGAUAGAAACCCUAGAGAAGUCCCAAAGAGCGUCAGCAAAUGGAAAACCCUCAUAAUAUAUAGAAAAUGGGCAACGAGGCAUAAUUACGAAAUUGCCCCUCUUCGAAUCAGUUGAUCCGGCGCGUUUGGUACUUGUCCAACGGCUACUGAUCAUCACUAGAAAGGUAAAAAUGUAUCAAGGCCCCUCAGAAAUAUACCAUUUCGAAACCAAGCCCAAAAUUUUAUUUUUUAUUUUAGUUCUGUAUUAGAUUUGUCACAGUUUCCAUUAUAUUUUAUAACUCUAAUUUUUCUAAACAUAAAAAAUCUCCUAUAUUACAUGCAUGCUAAAAAGUAUUGUAUAAUUAGUAGCUCGUAGUUGAUUGUAUUUUCUCAGCAAGUAUCUUAUAAAUUGUCAAACUAAUCGGAAAAGCAUUUGGACAUUUGAUCGUGCGGCAUUUCUAAUACUUUUUUUAAAUUCGUCUACACUUAGUGACAUAGUUAUUUUUCUCAUCUUUAAAGAAUUAGUACUUUUUCAGAAGAUUAUAAACUCAUUUAAGUUUAUGGUAUUUAUAAAAAAAAUUCUCGAAGUUUUCAAAAAAUUGAUCAUAUAUGCUCUAGCAAAGUUUCUUAUUUUUCAAUUUACUCUCCUUCACCUAAAAUUCAAAUUCAUCACACAAUCUGUUGAAAGCAAUCUGUGCAACAUCCACCUCGCUUGGAUGCUAUGUCCUCUUUAGAAAUUCAUCGCUUGAAUGCUAUGUCCUCUUUAGAAAUUUCUACAUCAUAGAGUCUCUUUUAGUAUUAGCAAUCAUUUGAUAUUUUGGAGUAGAAAUGGUAAAUUUUUUAUAAUGGGUAAUAUCAUAUGGUAUAGUUACUUGGCCUAUUUGUUGUAGAGAAAGGGACGGAGAAGAAGGAGAGUAGAAAAGAAAAAUGAGAGAAAAAAGGAGAGCAUAGUAAUAAUACACAAUGAUAGUUAUAAAUCGCAUUAUAAAUAAACGGUGUUGAAAAAGUUAAGCUCUAGUAUGGAGAUAAGAAAGGAGAAUCUCGAAAAAGAGACGAAACUAGGAUAUCAUGAUUGUGACUUAAUGAAAUGAUGGUAAUAAGAUAACUCGAAGAACCGAGAGAGAAGAGAUAGAAUGAAAAUAUAACUACAAUAAUGAGGUGAGAGAGAUUGAAUGGCAAAUUGAAAAGAGGAAGGAGAUGGAAUGAACAAGUAAUGAUAUUUAGUCAGGUGGACAUAUCUUCGUCAAAUUAAGAAAGAGUUUCAAUCGAUUAAGAAUUCACAUAUAAUUUAUGUGAAUAAAUAGUGAAACACCGUUACAUGACAAUACCGUAAUUUCACAUUUUCUUUGAAAUUGCUAUUAAAGAAAUAAAAAAUAUAUUUAAUUUUAACUUCUAAAUAUACUUAGGAUAGAAAGAUCUAUAAAAUAUAAACAAAUCAAUUUACUAUUAGGAAUCAAUUUGUUAGGUUUCCCAACCACCUUUCUCUGUAGCUUGGUAUGCAAAGAUUUUUUGUAUAUCUACUAACCGUUCCACUCAUUCGAAAUGCAAACCUCUAUCUCUAUUAUAUGGGAUGAUCUAACUAUUAACAUAAGAGCAAAACUCAAUAGAGAUAAAUUUUACUUUUCAAUAGAGAGUUGAUCUAAAAUAACAUAUAUAUCUAAUAUAUUCUUUUGAAAAUGUGCUCCCAUAAAUUAGCGAACAUACCAACUAAAUUACAAAGAAAAAGUUUCAAACCCUAGCUCAUCAAGAGAAAGUUUUAAACCCUAACUCAUCAACCGUAUUGAAUUUAUGUAAAAUAUAAAACAGUUCUAUAUAUUGCUUGAAGCUUUUAGAGUAAACAGUUGUUUCCAAUGAUAUACAAUUAGGAUGUUGAAAAUCCGCUCAGAGGUAAGAAAGAGUGUUAAAUACAAAAUAACUCUAUUAGCUUUAGCUUUUGUGAAACUCUAUUCAAACAGCCUUCAUCAACAACAAGACGGAUUUUGGUUUAAAAGCUUGCAUAAAUCAUUCAUAUCCAGAAUAUCCACAAUCCAUGCUUCUUACUCUCAAAAACUGAAAAGCUUUAUACAAUGAUUGCGAAAGACUAAAGAAGCAUUGAACACUAGAUUGGAUAAUGGUUCUACACACUGGUGAACACCCAAAAAUUGAUGCAAACACAGCAUAAAUCCAAACUGUUGAUACAUAUGGUGAUUCCAUUUUGCCCAAAAGAUGAAGCAGCCAAAAGGAAGCUAUAGAAUACCUAACAAUAAUAUAAGGAAGUUAAAAAAAGCUAGUAAGUGAACUAGCAAAUUCUAAGGUUAGCGCUUCCUUCGAUUAGAAGACCUUAGCGGUUGCGAUGGACAAACUGACGAAGUGUCUUGGGUCGCGUUUUCCACCGCCUCGUUUUUACAGCUUCUCAGCCUCUUCUUUGACAAAGAAGUAGAAGCUCCUCCUUGGCUUUUGGAUCCUUCCACUGCUUCAGCUUUUACAGAACUUCUCAGUCUCCUCCUUGUAGUGGGAUUAGGAGAAGCCGCCGGAUCUUCUUCGGGUUCGUUCGCAUCAUUUUCUUCUUCUUCGCACUCCAACUGGGGCCAUUCGGCGCCGCAACCCGGACAGGCUCUUGAACCCUAGGUUAGAGUUUUUUAAGAAACAAGUUUGUGUGAUUGAUGAGUGAUAUGAGAGAAAAGAAGGGAAUUACGAUAAGAGUUUUGUCAGUUACAAAAAAUGAUGAAUGAGAAAUGAGAUGGGAAGGAAUGUCCUGUGCUACCUUCCGCCGAGAAAAUUUCUGCUUUAAACAGUAAUCAUGGAUUCGAAUAUUGCAACCUUCAUUUGGACAUGUAGAGGCCUGUUUGACAAGCAAAGGUCAACACGGCAGUAAGGAUAACAGCAGAACACAUUGUAGUUCAAGCAUUUAUAGAACAUGGCACUCGCUUAAACAUGAUUCAAAUUUAAAUAGGCUCCACAAAGAAAAUGGAUCCAACAUCAAACCGUCUAGAUAUCGGCUAGUAAUUCCGCAGAACAGCAAAUUUAUUUCAUAAAAGUUAUCCACCUCUGUGUCACAGGUUGGCUCGCUCAAUAGAGCAACUCUCCAAAAUUCCCCUACACAUUCCAAUAAUUUUAGACAGGAGGAAGAUGUUUGUUCUUAUAACUUUUUAAGGAAGAUAGCACCACAUCAACAAUGGAGAUUUCGAAAUUUUUUAUUUCCCCUCCAUUAAAAUAAGUGUAUGAUUUAUAUAUAACCAUCCUUGUAAUAAUUGAUCGAGGUCAUAGCUGGUCAAUUUCUACCUACGAACCCCAGAAUUCAAGCUAUGAAGCAAUGUCCUCAUAAAUUCCAAAUUUCCACCUUUUAGUGUAAAAAAUCAGCGAAUGCAGCAAGUAGGUAGCUGCCUAGGGGGAAAAAAAAAAAUCAAGAACACAGACAUGAUCCAUAUUUUACUUGUGACUACUAGACUUGUUCCGACCAACCCCACGUUUUAACACAAGUAUCAACUUUUGGAACCAAGUGUGGGAAGGAAAAAGAUAAAUACUGAUUUGGCCUUUAAAAUCAGAAAGUGAGGAACUAAAUAAUAAUAUAAACAUGGUUUUUAAGCGCCACCUGUUGUUCAGGAGCCGGGGUAAAGAGAAUAACCAAUUCAUAGAAUGGCAAUUAACGACGGAGAGAGUAUAGAUACCUUAACACCUGCUUCAUUGCAGACAUUGCAAGAAGGGACAUCAUUGCUGCGGAACCAACUUCGAAGAUCAAGGAAAGAUCUUACGCCAAGACCAAUUUUCCCACUAGAGGUGUACGAUAGCCAUCGGUCUUGUAUGAGAUCAUUGAGAGUUUUCUCCUUUUGAGACAUUGUAAAGUUCCUAAAUGCAGGAGGAAUGCGAGAUUGACUAUCCUGUGAACUCUGCCCAGCAGGAACCUGAAAGUUUGAAACCAGAUCCAUUGAAUUCAAGGAGAAUGGAACAAAAAUACUCCAACACAAAAUGAACUAACAGAAAGAACUAUAUAACAAGCAAUUAGGAUAAGCUACAAAGUGAUUUGUUGUCAACAUGAAACUAGAUAACUCCUGUAGGACCAUACUAUAACAAGAAAAAGCUAGAGGGUUUAACAUGUAAAUUGUGAGAAAGGCUUUAGUGGCAAGUUAAACAGCUGCCGAUAAACCAAAUAGAAAAAGAAAAAUAGUAGAAAACCAUAUGGUGUGCUUAAGUGGUACGUCACAAGGAUGACAAAACAAAUUGUCAAUAUGGAACUUGCAGACUUUGAAGUGUCUUAGAUUACAAAUGUUUCCUUUCGUUUGAGGAUUAGCAUUCAGCUGAGAUAUCAGUUGCAUAUUACCAAGACAAGCUUUCGUUCCCAUGCAAAUAUCGAAAUCACCUCAAAGAUCUUUUCCCUGAAUAUAAGGUUGUGACUUUCUUCCUAAUUCUAGUGUGAUCGAACAGCUUGUCAAUGAUAAAUCAUAGCCCAUAGAUGGUCACCAUAGAAGAUUAGCAGCUAAACCCAUAGUCCUGUAUAAAAAGAUACAAGCUAUCCUUUGUAAACAAAUUUCCUACCAGCUCUCAACCUUAUGUCAAUGCAUCAAAGUUUGAUAUUCUUAAUAGGAUUCAACAACUUUUCACUCAAUCAUUGCAGGGUUUGGCAUGGAUUGCACAAUGCUGUGUGUAAUGCCACCAGGCAUCCACAGAGGAUGCACAGUCCAAAUCUACAUCUUCCACCUGCAAAACUUUCUUAGUGGAUUUGAUCUUUUGUAGGAUUUGACUCAAAGAUGAGAGCUCAAAGAAAGGUGCUUAAAGAAGAGAAGGAGGGGGGGGGNGGGCGGGGGCGGUUUCUCCUAGUCGAAUUGGUAACCAGACAAUUAUUAUCAUACCAUUUUUAGUUAUCCCUCCCUUGCGUUGUUAUGUAUACUGAACCAUAUUGAAUCCAACUCUAUCUAAACAGGACCUUCGAACACCCUUAUAAGUCUCUGCAUUUUGGGUAUCCCGACCUUUUAUCUCUCACUAUAUUGCACUCCUAACUAUUUUCACUAUACAAUAAUAAUCAGAUGCAGUAGGGAACAACACCAGAUCCAAAGCCAUAACAAAGUGAGUAGAAGAAACUACUUGGCCAUUACCUAUAUCAAACUGACCUAGACACCAGAUAUUCGUUCCAUUUUUGGUAUACACAUAUGUUAUGUAUAUCACUGGAACAAUUGCAGAAAAGGUAAAGUCUGCAAAGAAACUGCACCAACAGGAAUAAGGAAAUAAAUUCAGCAAAUCUAAACCUCAAUCCGCCUUACUUGUCAAAUACUUUGUAAAAAAAAAGCAAAAAAGGGAGGAAAAAAAAAGCACCCAAAAUUGCAGAGCUUAGUAGGUAUACAGAAAAAGUAAAAUUAUUUAUAGGUAAGGUAUAGGAAAGCAUCUUUCUAGAAGAGGAACUUCAAUCACUAACCUGAUUCUCAAGCCGGAUGUUAAGAGCCUCAAUAUUGGUUACGCAGCCCUCAGUUCCAGCAUCCUGAAUUAUCGCUUCUAUCUGAAACAAAUAAUGGGUAUUUCGAGAUAUUAGAAACACUGGUUUCCUAAUGAUUAAAGUCAAAUAUUAAGCAGAGAUUCAAGUGCAAUCAUUUGAAGCGAUAGUCAAAAGACAACUGAAACAUACAAGCAUACAAAAUGAAAGUAUUAAUCAAGUCAUUUCAGGAGAAGCCAUGAGACAUAAUCAGGUACUGUUAACAUUAUGCUAGCAAAUAUUCAGGUUUCUUUACUAAUUAUUUGAUUAAAAGAGGCCAUUAGUGAAGUUAACGUUUUUUUUUCUUUUCUUUUGGGUUGAAAUAAAUAGGAUAAAAACACAGGCUCGCCGAUAAAGCUGUAAACAACAAUAGAUAAACCUUCGGAAAAUAUUGAUUAUGAAAAAAUCCACCAAAUAAUUCAUAUAUAUGUUACCGAACAAAAGCUAAUACAUAAAAUGGAGUACGUAAUGUACCACAAGGCAAGGAAUUCAGGUUUAAAUACAAGCAUAAAGUAAUUUUUGAGCCCUAAACUCAGGUAACAAACAAUGAUAAUUUUAACAUUUAAAAUUUUAGACAAGCAAGUGAAAAAGAAGCAUAGAGAGAGGAGAGGAAGUUAAAAGGUGAAAGUAAACAAUCUACGAGUGAUCUCUGCUGGUACCUGGAUAGCUUUGGAUCAGACAAAACAUCCUUCAUGGUAUAAGCAGUGUUCUCGUUUUACAAAUAUUAAGUGGUAAUCAACAACACAAAUGAAAUCACUAUGGUGGUAGUCAAGAGAAAGAACUGAUCAGAGGUCCUCUACCAUGUCAAACAAUAUACGCUCUCCAACAAGAUGGGCCAAAAGCCUCUUUUUCCUAAUUCUUUUUCAAGUCAAAGAGUUUAGGUUUCUUUGUAAGAUUUACGUCUUUGUUAGAUUUUGGUCUAUGAAAAAUGCAUUUGAAUAAUUAAAUUGGAUAACAUAAAGGUUCAUUUUAUGAAAUUUUGCUUUUCAUAAUUUUACUGUUUACUUCACUACAUUCCAUAGGUGUAAAGAGAAACAGACAAAUUCCUGAAACUGUGUAUCCAUUUUGUAUCCAAUAUAGUUAUGGCUCAAGCAUUUGCACAAGAGAAUACGGUUAAAAUGAGAAUUAAAUUUGAGACAUAUUUCUUUGUUGAUCACUAAAUCUAAAUCUCACUAAAUGUGGAAAAAUUCACAUGGAAUCCUUCUCAUAUGGACGGCACAAAUCCCAAGGAGAAAGCAUAUAGUUAGACUGGCAUUCCCAUCUCUCCAUUUGUACAAUUCUAACCUAUAUAAACCCUGAAAUAUUGGCCAAGAGGGUUCUGGAACCAAUCAGGAAACAGAAGUCAUAUAUUGAUUCUUGAGGAAUGAAUCACACUUUUCACCGCAUAGUUUCUUAUAGAAUAAACAACAAAGCAACAAAACAUGGUCAAGUUGUAUCUAUGAAUCUUUCACAAUUGUACUUUUGAAAAUCUCUUAGAGGGAGCUGCCAACAACAAGAAAAAGGUGAUUCUACACCAACAAAGUUCAUUCAAUAAAGACUAGCAAGCAUAAAAUCAUGCCCAUUUUGCAGCAACAGCUGUAGAUUACUACUAAAAUUCCAAGCAAACAAUGGCAUACCACACCCUUGUAGAAUGCAAUCUGCGGAACUGAAUACUUCGUCCCGAGCUUUGACUGCUCAUCAGCAACGUUAUUUAUCACCCCAUAGUAAACCUUCCCAUCAUACUGGUUUCUGCAUGCUCGCAACUCGAAUUGCACGUAAGCCAGCUCCUUAUUAAUUUUGAGAAGAACAUCGUUGAAUAGCUGCUUAUUAUUGACUGCAGCAUAUGAUGUGAGCAUCAGAGGUACCAAAGCAAAUCACCAUAUAUGUAUAUGCGAUUGUUUUUUCUUUUGAUAUUUUAAACUUAUAGAUGCUCAAUUAACUGUUGGAGACUUGAUUGAUCGUCCAUCAUGUGCUACCAACACCUCUAGACGAAAAUAGAGAAAACCGAAUGGUAAAAGAAAUAGAUGCAAAAAAAAUAGACCAAUAUUUACGUCGUUCGGCAACUGCCCACAUUCACGAGGAGAGUGAGAGAGAUAUUCCACUAUAUGAAAAAACAAAAGUACAAGUUUACACCUUAUGUUUUUUCCAAACCAUAAGCCAAGAGUCUUAUGGUGAAAUUCACCCUUCUCUUGCUCCAACAAAAACUCUUAAAGAAAUAACCGAGAAGAGCUUUUCAAAAGACUAAAUUAGAGAAGUAUAAAGUUUUUGACCAAAAUCCUUUAUGUUGUUGCUUUGGAUAGCCAAACCACUUAAGUAAUUGGUAGAGCACCUCCACGCUGCUGCUGAUCUCAAACUUGAUGCCGCACGCAAGCCACUGAACACUUCUCUUUUCUACCAAACACUCUUAUGUCUGUUCGUCCGGGCUAACAUCACCUUAAUUUAUCAGCCUCUACUAAUUAGCUUAGUCAUGAUGUAAGUUACAUUAUCCUUUACAUUAUCCUUUGCAGAAACCUUCAUAAGCUGAAUUUCUCCAUCAUUCUUCUCAAUGAGCUCCCGUAAUUUGUAAUACAUGGCGUCUAUGUGUUUUGUCCUCAAAUGGUAAACCGAAUUUUUUUGUGAGACAUAUAACAUUGACUAUCACAACAGAUGAUUACCUCAUCCUGUAUGAUCCCGAGUUUCUAACCAAAGCUCUAAGCUAAACUGCUUGCUUAGCCGCUUCAAUCGUCGCCAUAUACUCCGCUUCUACAGUUGACAAGGCUACAAUGUAUUUUAACGUAGAUUUCCAACUGAUUGGUUCGUCGCCAGCAAAAAUUUGUAAACUGUAAUAGACUUACACUUAUUCAAAUCACUAGUAUUCAAAAUCUACAAACUCCUUCAUUUUACCGUUACCGGAAUCUUUCGAGUAGAGAAUACCCAUAUCCACUAUGCCCUUCAGGUACCGUAGAAUUCACUUCACAGCCUCCUAUUCUUGUUUUUCUAGAUUUGACAUAUAUCGACUAACAACACUAAAUGCAUAAGAAAUAUGAAACCUAAUACAAAUCAUAGCAUACAUCAAGCAACCGACUGCACUAGCAUACAAUAACCUUUGACCUAGAAUUAAUCUCCUUAUCCGUCUUAGGACACAUCUUCUUAGAAAGUUUGAAGUGUUGGGCCGACAUAUUAAAUUGUUUUAGAAUAGCCUGUAUAUAUGUCUUUUGUGAUAGCCACAGCUUAUCCUGUAUGCGGUGUCGCCUGAUCUCCAUAUUUAGAAUUUUUCUAGCACUUCCUAGAUCCUUCAUAUCAAAUUCCCAACACAACUAAUCAUCACUACACUUCUUCUGAAUUCUUAGCCCGGUAUCAGCAUAUCAUCUACGCGUAAGUAGAAUAAACGAACCAUCUUCAAGCCUUCGAUAAUAAACACAAGUGUCGUAUAAACUAAUGCCAUAACCAUGCUCGAUCAUAAAUCCGUCAAACCAUCAGUACCAUUGCCUCGGUGCCUGCUUUAAUCUGUAGAGGGAUCUUUGCCUUAGUGCAUGCUUUAACCAGUAGAGUGAUCUUUGCCUCGGUGCUUGCUUUAACCCGUAGAGAAAUCUUUUCAAUUUGCACACCAGACUCUCCAUCGUCGGCUGAAUAAAGCCUUAAAACUACUCUAUGUAAAUUUUGUCUACUAGAGCCCCAUGAAGAAACGUGGUCCAAAAGUCAAGUUGCUGAAGCUCCAUAUCAAACAUAGCCAACAUAGCUAGAAGUAUCCUAAUCGACGCGUGCUUCACCACUGGCGGAGACACCUCCUUGAAGUCGACUCCCUUUAUCUGCGCAUAGCCCUUGGCUACUAACCACGCCUUAAUUUUUUAAGGUUUAGAAAAGUUCGUUAUGAUAGUUUGUUUGAGCUUUUCUCUGAAGAAGAGAAAUAAGAUGAAAAAGAGUGGUAAAAUAUAAAAGAAGUCAAGAUAGAGAAUAUUGAGUGGUGACUUCUUUUGUUUGGUUCACGUGCACUCGGUUCAUAGAGUUUAUAAACGAAUUGAUUCCUAUUCCUAUUGGUGGAUAUUGUAGCGAUACAGUGAGUCACGUUGAGUUCCGAGUAGGACUUCAAAUCAUACUUGACUUUGACCAGGCCCUACUACAUUAUAUAUAUCUGUAUGUGGUACCGGCCAGAGCUAAUUAGUAGAGGCUAAUAAAUUAAGGUGAUGUUUUUUUUUUUUGAGAGAUAGGUAGCAUGCUACCUGCUUCGUUUAUUUCAUUUAGAAAUAAACUUAGCUGAAAAUGUGAAUCAACUAGGAUUCAAAUUUGGGUCUCGGAUACCAACCACCAAGCCCUUUGCCACUUGCUCUAGGGACGGUCGGUAAAUUAAGGUGAUGUUAGCCCGGUCCUGAGAGUAUACAACAGCAAAGAGGAGUGGUGUUCGGCAGCUUGCAUGCGAUGUCAAGUGAGGUCGGCAGUAACGCAAAGGUUCUCGACUAAUUGCUUGAGCGGUUUGGCUUUACCGAAGCAACAAUACAAAGAAUUAUGGUAAAAAAUUUGAUGCUUCUCUAAUUUAGUCUUCUUUAAUUAAGGUUUCUCGAAAAACUCUUUCUGGUUAUUUUUUUGAAGUUUUUUGUUGGAAAGAGAGAAGGAUGGGUUUUAGAAUAAGGCUCUUGGUUUUUUGUUUGGAGAAGACAUAAGGUGCAAGCUUGUAUUUUUAUUUCCUCAUAUAGUGGAACACAUUCCUCUCACUCUCUCCAUGCUGAAUCACAUAAACAUCGGUCUGUUUUUUGCAUUUAUUUCUUUUACGAUUCAUUUUUCUCUAUUUUCAUGCAUCUGUGUUGGUAGCGCAUUACGAACGAUCAAUCUAAGUCCCCACCAUUAACCUUAUCUUUAUCUAUAGGAUCCACAACUAUAAAUUCAUGUCUAAUGAUUAGAACUUGGCUUAUAGAAGGAAUAAAUUCAACAUAAUCUUGCCACUAGCAGAAUCUUACGUUCAUAGUAUCUGCAACUGCAGAAGCUUAAAUGCAUAUGAUUUGCCUAAUCUAACAUUAGAAACCAUACACCUCUGCAUAAAUCAACAAAAUUACCUGGGUUUUUUCCGCUGAUGCCCAUGAACAUCUCAUGGAACUCCUCCUCCAUUAACGGCCCACGGCUCAACAAGGCUUGUAUAAGGGUAUGGUGCCUCCAAGUUAAAGGCGCCAUUUUCACCUCCCAGGAGAUCUACCAAAACCCUAAACUUCCAUUGAGCUCCAAGGGGGAACUCUUUGAAACCCUAAUUUUUACCUGAAUAAAGGAUCGGAAACGAACCCUAAGGUCGGAAGCGAAAAACCCUCGAUCGGCUUCGGAGAGAGCGCGCGCGCUUCUCCUCUUUUGUGGCGGGAGAAGCAGAAUCCGAGCUCGAGAAUCGAAGCGAGGGUUUUUGUAUCGGCGGGGUUUUAUCUUUUUAUCGGAUCCAAUUUGGGUUCGCACUCGUAAUUCGAAACGGACUUGGUAAGGUGCGGUGAGUCGGAUUCGUCUGGACCCGGUUAACGUGAAUGGAUCGGAUUAUUAAAUUUUUAACUAUUGACAUUAACUCAAGUUUUUAAGAGGGAUUUUUUUCACAAAAUAAUUUUCUAAAAUAUUAAUAUUUGCAAAAUAUUUUUUUCAAAAUUUUAUUUCGAAAACUAACUCUUCUUUCUCCACGUGAGCGUCACGCUGGGAUUUCUUUCACCUCCUUCAAUAAGGCAGCGAACAAUUCACUAUCUUCAUAAUAUAAUUAUUGAAGAUGAUUAAUAAUUCACUACCUUAGUGAAGGCGGUGACUCCACCUUGAUAAAUUUUCUAAGUUCUUGUAAUAUAUAAAGUGGAGGAGGUAAACCAUUUACCGUCUUUGUAAUAUAUUAAGUGAAGACGGUGAAUGGCUCACCGCCUUUAGUGCCCUAUAGGGGUGUAAUGUGGGCCGUGCCGGGCCGGCACGGCCCCCGGACCGAACCGGGCUGGAAGAUGGCGCGGCCCGCCCGUGCUAAAUCCGGCCGGGCCCGUGCGGGCCGCGAACCCCUGACCAUCCAGCCCAGCAGCCCCUGCCGGAAGGCACGGGCCUGUGCCGGCCGGGCCGUGCCUGCCUGGCCGUCGCGGCCGGCUCUUUUUUUUAUUUUUUAAUGUAAUCAUAUAAUUUUAAAAAAUAUGAACAAUAAAUUACAUUAUAUAAAACGAUAUUUGAUUAAAAAAAUUUAAAAUUUUUAAAAUACUUACAAAAAAAUAAUAUUUAAAUUUAUUUAAUAUAUGUUUGUAUUCUUUUUUUGAAAAAAAAUAAAGUUGGAAGGUUUUGGUCGCAAUGACCAAAAUUGGCUUUGUCUCAUGAUCAAUAUUACUCCUCCAAGGUCUGCCUAGGCAACCUUGGAGGACUAUUCCUUGGAGGAGGGCCAAGCCCUCCACCGAGGAGCAAACCCCAGGCCCGAAGGCAACUUUGCCUUGGGCCUGGGUUCCGGCCGCUGCUGGCCCGGCUGGCACGCCCAAGCGGCCGUGCCGUGCCUGGGCCAUGGCCCUCUCUGGCUCCUCGGCCCGGCACGGCCCAGGCCCGUUUCGGGCCGUGCCGUGCCGGGCCGUCGGGCUCCAAAUGUGAGGCCCAGCACGGCCCGAGGUGCCUGCCGGGCCCGGCCCGGCCCGGGUGCUACAGUGGCCGUGCCGGGCCACGGCCCGGCCCGCAGCCGUGCCGGGCCGGGCGGCCCACGUGCCGCCCGGCCCGUUUUACACCCCUAGUGCCCUACAACUUCAUUCUGAUUUUCUCUCGAUUUUCUCUAAGUCCUCGAGGCUGGUUUUGAAGCACAGAUAAGACGCUGGACAAUUCACUAUUUUUAUAAAGGCAGUGAACGGCUCACCGUCUUUAUGAAGACGGUGAGCCGUUCACCGUCUUCAUUACAAAUCGAUAACAACAAUUUGUACAAGUUUGGAGUAUUUUUUUUUUUUUGAGAGAGAUAGGUACCACGCUACCCGCUUCGUUUAUUUCAUUUAGAAAUAAACUUAGCUAGAAAUGUGAAUCAACUGGAAUUCGAACUUGGGUCUCGAGUACCAACCACCAAGCCCUUUGCCACUUGCUCUAGGGACGGUCAGUUGGAGCAAAAAAUUUUACGAGAACAAAAACUUUAACAACAAAAACAACCAAACAAGAAGAACAACAAGAUAUAUUAGAAAAUUUCGAAAGGGUGUAGCGUCGCACUAAAUGCGGUGAAUGGUUUACUGCCUGUUGAUGCCAAAAUUAAAAUUAACAUGCCGACCUAGCCCACGUAUGAGCUGAAGAAAUAAGGACACGUGGUACACUAGGAGUCGGCAAUAAGGCGCUUGAAGGUCAAAAGCGUUUAGACGGGAACGGUUGAGAAGUGGGGCGUAACUUCCAUGUGAAGUGGGGCAUAACUUUCAUGUGAAGUGGGACGUAACUUCCAUGAGAAAUGGGGCAUAACUUCCACGAUCAUGGUUACAACCACUUCCCCAACCAACCAAAAAUGUGGGCUGAGAAGACAUCACUAUAAAUAGUAAAGACAUCACUAUAAAUAGUAACUUCAAAGCCUGUAAUAAAGGUCUUUUCCCCUGAGAACAAAAGACCACCCUUAUUUCCUCUGCAUUUUAUCGCUUUUCUAUGAGUAGUCUAAAUGUAAUCUUUUUCUUUUCCGCAUUUACUGCUUUCCUAGGAGUAAUUCGCUAAGUAGAACCCUGAAGUCUGUUUGCCUCACGGGUAUCACUCCGUUGUAGACUAUAUUUGCAAAGUCUGUCUGCACCAUGGGCAUCACUCUAUUGUAAACUAUAUUUGCAGAGUCUAUAUGCCCUUUGGACACACUCUGUUUAAUAUAUAUAUAUAUAUAUAUAUAUAUAUAUAUAUAUAUAGCUUCGCUCUUUUAGCCGACCAGUUACUGUGUACUUCUUCUAUUCGGCUCUUCUGCCGACAUUGAUCCCUGCACAGUUCAUACAUUCGGCUUAUCCAGCCGAACCGAUUUUACGGUAAAGGUUUUCGAACCCGGUUGAUCCGAUCCCUCAUCAGCCGAAUCGCUUGAUCUGUCGAAGGGCGCACACUUCGAGGGUCAUCGUUCGCAGUCGUUCCACACCCCGACGCGCUCCCCGAGGAAGGUAUUUGACCGGGUCAAAGGUCGGAAAAUUCGGCUACCAACAAUUUUUUGGCACGCCCGGUGGGACAACAUUUUUAGGUAAAUUUAUAUUUUAUAUAAAUUAUGGCUGAUGAUAAUGCCAUGAAUUUGCGCAAUAGGGUUGUUCCUAGAAAUUCUGAGAGUGAUCAACCUAGUGAUUCAAACAAUGCUGGCGAAUGUCAAGCAGUUUUGCCAGUUGAAGGAGAAACUAGUGGACAGUCGGCUCAUCAAGAGCCGAGUCUAACUCAGGCGCUCGGCCAGAUGAGCCAAGUCCUGCAAACUUUAGAUUAAAAUAUCCAUCAAAGUACCGCUCGAUUAGACGCGGUGCUGGCUGCCAUCACGGCUUAUAAUAAAAAUAUUGCACGAAUGGGGCAAUUAUUGACUCGAAAUGAACAACCAAUGACAGGCUUACAAGGGUCUAUGAUGACACCGGUGUUGCAAAAUCCUGCAACACCGGUAAAUGGACAGCCCCAAUACCAUGGGGCACCAUUCCAAGCGGCUUACAGGCCAGCCGUCGUCAAUACCGGUCAACAGCUGGAAAUUGCAUGGGGAUUGCCACUACCCCCGCAGAUGACAACAUACUAGCCCCAAAAUAUAGGGGCUAGAGCUGGGGGGCAGGUUCCAAAUAUUCAAGAAGCAAAUCCCAUAGUACAAAACUUCGGACCAUUACAAGGACCGAAUGUAGCACAAGCACAAGUUCCUUUGCAGGAAAACAAUGAUGAAAUAUAUGCGCAAAUCGAAGAAGCCAUCCGAAAUACUGUUGAAAUAGGUGCAAGGCCGGCAAUGCGGCCUAUGUUUAGAUCACCUUAUCCUACAAAUAUAGACAUAGAGCAUCCAUACCCGGCAAACUAGAAAAUACCGAAGUUUGAUAAAUUUUUUGGGGAUGAGACCGAAAACACGGUUGAACAUGUGACGCGGUUCACGGCACAGUGCAGGGAAGCCGCGACAGAUCCAUUUUUAAAAUUAAGAUUGUUUAACACGUCGUUAACUAAAACGGCGUUUACUUGGUAUACAAGUUUAUCAACCAAUUCCGUCCAAGAUUGGGACAAAUUGGAAAGAAAAUUUCAUGAGCGAUUCUAUAGGUCGGAGCCACAAUUAUCGGUUGUCGACUUGGCUUUACAACGACAAAUGUCAGAUGAAACGGUUGAAGAGUAUUUGAACCGUUUCAAAAUAGCCAAAACCCGGUGCUUUAUGAGAAUGCUGGAAUCAGAGUUCGCCAAAAUUGCGUUAAAUAGUCUGCAUUUUAAGAUAAAAGACUAUUUUGAAGAUAAGUAUUUUUCUAACCUAUUUGAUCUAGGUAUUCGAGUUGCCCAAUAUGAGCAAUUUCGGAAGGAAAGUGAGGACAAUCGGCUGCAAUGGAGUCGAUAUAAAAAGCAAAGCAAAGGCAAAGAGAACUUCUUGAUAGAAGAACAGUCGGUUCAAAAAGAGCCGAGCCAAUCAAGUGAAAGUGAAGAAUCGGCUGAUGAAGCCAAGGUAUAUGCGGCUGGUAAAGAGCCAAUUUCUUCAAGAAGAAAUCUUGAUAGAAGAACAUUCGGUUCAAAAAGAGCCGAACCAAUCAAGUAAAGUAAAGAAUCGGCUGAUGAAGCUGAGGUAUAUACGGCUGGGACGAUAAAGAGCCGUUUUCUUAAAGCCGACCAGGACCAGCAAAACCAAAGCUUGGGUCUCAGCUGUGUCAUUUGAGCAGUCAAUUUGGCACCAAUAGUUAUCCGAAUGUUCAUUCGAAAGGCUAUUGGGGUGGCAUUGUUGAUGCCAAUAUUGAAAUUAACAUGCCGACCUAGCUCACGUAUGAGCCGAAGAAAUAAGGAUACGUGGUACACCAGGAGUCGGCAAUAAGGCGCCUGAAGGCCAAGAGUGUUUAGGCGGGAACGGUUGAGAAGUGGGGCGUAACUUCCAUGUGAAGUGGGGCAUAACUUCCAUGUGAAGUGGGACGUAACUUUCAUGAGAAGUGGGGCAUAACUUCCACGAUCAUGGUUACAACCACUCCCCCAACCAACCAAAAAUGUGGGCUGAGAAGAUAUCACUAUAAAUAGUAACUUCAAAGCCUGUAAUAAAGGUCUUUUUCCCUGGGAAUAAAAGACCACCCUUAUUUCCUCUGUAUUUUAUCGCUUUUCUAGGAGUAGUCUAAAUAUAAUCUUUUUCUUUUCCGCAUUUACUGCUUUUCUAGGAGUAGUUCACUAAGUAGAACCCUGGAGUCUGUCUGCCCCACGGGCAUCACUCCGUUGUAGACUAUAUUUGCAGAGUCUGUCUGCACUAUAGGCAUCACUCUGUUGUAAACUAUAUUUGCAGAGUCUGUAUGCCCUUUGGGCACACUCUAUUUAAUUAAUAUAUAAAUAUAUAUAUACAUAUACAUAUAUGUAUAUAUAUACAUAUAUGUAUAUCAAUAGUAUAUUAUGCUAUAUCAUGUAAACUGUAUAACAAUAUAAUAUCUAUAAUAUAUAUAAUUAAUAUAAUAAUAUAGAAUACGCUAAUAUAACUAUUAAUAGGGCACUAAGUCAUUGGCUUGCUAACCAAGUUUUGGCCAUUGAUAAGAGAUGUAUGGUUAAGAGAUAUGGGCCCCUAGGUGAUGGGUGGUUGGGUUGAAUCUAUGAUCUAAACGAGUGAAAAUAGUCUCAAAUAGUAAGCCACGGUGGAAAACUGUAGCACCAAGUGUUUCGUAGCUAUUAAAUCAGCAUGCGUUGGGAGUAGAUGGACUCUAUAUAUACUAUCUAUUAAUAUAUAAUUAUAUACAUCUUAUAUAUAUGUAUAUAUAAUGAUCUAAUGUAUAUAUAUAUUAUAUUAGAUAAUAUAUAUAUACAUCUAUGAAUAUUGUAUAAUGUAACAUAUAUAGUUAUAAACAUGUAUAUGUAUACAUAUAGUAUAUAGUUAUACACAUUAUAUGUAUAUCUAAUAUACCAUAUAAUAUAUAUAUUACUAUAUAUACAUAUAUACAUAUAUGGUUUAUAUUGUAUAAUAUACUAGAUUAACUAUUAAAUAUAUACAAUAUACAUAUAUGUAUAUAUAUAAUAUAUAAACAUAUACUGUAUAUAUAUACCAUAUAUACAAUAUAUAUUAUUAAUUAAUACCAUAUAACUAUAUAUAUAUAUUGUCUAUAUAUACUACAUAGAUGUAAUAUAUGUAUAUAUAUAGAAUUGUAAUAUAGGACAGAUGUAUAUAGUAUAUAGUAUAUAUAUAAUACACUAUAAUAUUAUAUAUGUUAUGUAUAUAACAUCAUAUAUAUAUUUAUUGUUAUAUAUACAAUAUAUAUACAUCUAUAUAUAUACAGAUGUAUAAGAUAUGUAUUUUUUAAUUUAAUAGAUAUAUAUAUGUAAUGUUAUAUAUAAAUGUAUAUAUAUUAUUAUGUCUAAUAUAUAUAAUUGUAUAUACAUUAACACUAUAUUAUCUAUGUAUAUUUAUCAUAUAUAUAUAUAUAUAUAUGUACAGAUGUAUUAUUAUAUUAUGUAUUAAUAUAUCACAUAGAUAUAUAUACUUAUGUAUGUAUAUAUUCAACAGACUGUCAUAAUUAUAUGAUGGUAUGUAUACAGUACACACAUUAAUAUUAUGAUAAUAGCACUGCCAUACAUUAUAUAAUACUAUUAUAUGCCUGCUAUGUAUGUACUAUAAUACACAUUUAUAUAACUAUAUUUAUAUCUAAUGUCUACAAAUAUAUAUUAUAUCUAUGUAAUUAAUAACAGACAUACAUAAUAUAUAUAUAUAUCCUGUAUUAUACUACCAUACAUAUAUAUAUAUAUAUAUAUACAUAUAUACAUAUAUGUAUAUAUAUAUACAUAUAUAUAUAUACAUAUAUAUACAUAUAUAUAUAUACAUAUAUAUACAUAUAGGCAUUCGGCUUCUUCAGCCGAUCAGUUACUGUGUACUUCUUCUAUUCGGCUCUUCUGCCAACAUUGAUCCCUGCACAGUUCAUACAUUCAGCUCAUCCAGCCGAACCGAUUCUACGAUAAAGAUUUUCGAAUCCGGCUGAUCCGAUCCCUUAUCAGCAGAAUCACUUGAUCUGUCGAAGGGCGCACACUUCGAGGGUCAUCGUUCGCAGCCGUUCCUCACCCUAACGCGCUCCCCGAGGAAGAUAUUUGACCGGGUCAAGGGUCGGAAAAUUUGGCUACCAACACUGCCUUAGUGAAUGUGGUGAAGUAUUUACCGGCUUCAUUGGACUUUACUAGAUAUAUUAGAAAGAUGGUGAAGGCGAUGAACGAUUCAUCAUCUUCACAAGAAUUAUUCUACUUGGCGCCUACGUGGCGAAAGGAUGGUUAAUUAGUUUUACAAAUAUAAAUUUUAGAGAGUUAUUUUGCAAAUUUUAAAUUUUAAGAGGAUUAUUUUAUAAAAAAAUCCUUUUAAGGGCGUGUAUGGUUAACGGUUUUCUUUUUUAAAAAAAGAUUGGCAAUAAAAAGUUGGAAUUAUAAAAUUUUAUAUUUAUUUUUAUCACAAAAUUUAAUAUAACAGGAAUUAAAAAUUUCUGUAUAAUUUUAUAAUCUCUUGAAACAUGAGAUUCAAACAUCCAACUCCUCCUCCCUAGGAGAAUUCUUUUCCUAAAAAAUUUGAGUUAAAAGGAAUAAAAUAUUCUUGUUCACAUUUUAUAUCCAUUUCAAUUUUUAAAUUAAGUACGGAAAUUAAAUAAAAUUAUGAAUCUCCUAAAUUUAGGAAUAUUUAAAUAGAUUUUAUCCUCAAAUCUUUAUGAUUUUUAUAUGAUUAAUUUAGUGUAACAUGACAUAUACAUAUACUAUGAGUUUCUAUAAAAAAUAAAGUAUUGUAAUAAUUGUAUUAAUAUAACUGAAUAAAUUAGUGUCUGAGUUAAAUGUAGAAAUAACUAUUUCCGAUAUGUGCCAUGCAAAAAUAUUUUUACAAAAUAGAAAUUUUAUCAUGAGAAUAAAUUUUAAAAAGUUAAUUGUCAGCUAAAAUUUUAAUUUAUGUGAACUAAACGGCCCAAAAGUUUUUUUUUGUCCCCGAGAAAAAAGUCCAUACAUAAAUUUACUAGAGCUUAAUCCGUUAUGAAAUAGUUGUAAAGGGCUCUGUGGUUGAUACCCGAGGUUCCAAGUGUGAAUCCUAAUUGAUUCCCAUUUCUAUCUAAACUAGUGUAGAGACCCACGCGAUGCAGCGGGUAGAUAAUAAAAAUAAAUUUUUAAUAUUUUAAUAAAUUUUAUAUUUGCAGCUUAUAGGAAGCUAUAUCAUGUUAAGCACAGUCAAUUUGCAUGACUAAAUUCAGUUGUUAAAAAAAUAAAAUAAUAGCUAGAAGUAUAUGAAAUACAUAAAUAAUAACUUAACGUAUCUGGCUUAAGAAAAUUUUGGUUGGCAUUUCAGGCUCCAAUCUCCGCAUCAUACUUUUUAAUCUACGAAAGAAAUUUUGCCCACAACAGUGUCUACUUAAAAAAAUGAUCAUAAUAUAAAAAUAAAACAAAAAACAUCAAUCUUAAAAAAAUUAAUAUUUUUUUGGAGCACUUCUCUUACUCAUCCAAAUCUCAUACAUCUUCUUAAUCUUCAGCUGGUAGUUGCUCCGCGUGCCGAGUCAUUUCUGGAUUUCUAUUGUAACCUAUGAACAAACACCUUAUUUGCAUCACCAAACUGCGAUAUUUAAACCGAUACAGCCUUGCCAUCACAUCAACCUUAGAAAUCCUUAUUCUUAAACAAUUUGAUUUAUCAAGAAGUUCCUGCGAUUCUUGAGAAGCGAGCUCCCGCGCAACGUUGCCGCCAAGAGAAGGCUAGGACGACGCUCCCCUUGGCCUAGUUGCGGGCGCGUGCGAGCCGUACGAGGAGGCAGCCGAGGCGGCGGCGGUUCACGGCGAGCGACGGCUCCGGUGCAGACCAGCCCAGCGAGCACUUAUAUGGGCCGCGGCUGGACUUUACAGGACGAUAUUUUUUGAAGAAGACAACGUUCUUCGCAUGUUCUUCUUAUUUAUCAUCCUCAUAAUUUUUGUUAACACAAUGAGAUAGAGAGAAGGAGAUGAGUGUGGGGUGAGAGAUUAGAUGAUAAUGUUUCUUUUUGCAUGAAAAAUAACAUGUCAUGCAAGAAAGAGGGGGUGAGGGGAUUAAUGGUGGAGGGGAGUAGAUUGGUGUUACAAAGCUCACUAAUUGAUGAAAUAUAAUGCAUGUAAUUAAAUGUGGAAAGGUGAAGGGUUGAGCAUUUAGAAGUGGAGAUUAAUGGUGGAGGGGAAUGGAUUGGAAUUACAAAGCUCACUAAUUGAUAGAAUAUGAUGCAUGCAAUUAAAUGUGGAGAGAUGAAGGGUUUAGCAUAGCAUUUAGAAGUGAGGAUUAAUAGUGGAGGGGAGUGGAUUGGAGUUACAAAGCUCACUAAUUGGUGAAAUAUAAUGCAUGUAAUUAAAAGUAUGAGAGAUGAAAGGGUUACGCAUUUAGAAAGCGAAUGGUUGGAGAAGAAACGUAAGAUUUUAUAUUGAGGAUGGCAGCAUAUAAGAGAUAGGAUUAUGAUAUCUAUAAUCCAAGAAGAAGGCGGUUUUCUUGCCACGUGGCCCCAAGAAACAUUGUAGCAUUCAUAUGUCUUAAUAGAUUUAUUUUUAAUAAAUAACGUUAGGGGGUAGCCGAUGCUGCAUAUUCUUUCAAAAUCUAUUAUUAGUAUAUCUAUAUAUAUACAGGUCAGUAGGUAUGAUAUAUUAUACUGUAUCGCUAUAUUAUAUUAAAAUUCUAACUUUCAUUUUUUUUUGAACUUUUCAUUUAAUAAUAGAGUUGACAAUCUAAUCUGCUAUUCGUGAGUUAGCUUAUCUGCGGUUCGUUAAUAAAUGAGCUGAACUUCUUAGCUCAAUAUUUUAAUAAACCAGUUUGUGUUCGGCCCGUUUAAUAAACGAAGUAACAUGAGCCUUUCGUGUUCGGCUCGUCAACAGCCCAUAAUUUGAAACCGUGCAAUGCUCUCUUUUGGGCCCUAGAUGGGCCGACUAUUUUUUAACUUAUAUUAUUCCCUGCGAGCCCAACGUGUGCGAUUGUAGCGACUCCGUACGUACGACUCCCCCUUAUCCACCGAGCGAACGGCGGGAACCGCCCAAAAAUGCGAACGGCUCCCGAACCCUCAUCAUGGCCUCCCCCGCCGCCUCGAGAUUCGCGCACUCCUCCGUCCCCUUCCCGCGGCCUCGGACCAUCUCCGCCGCCGCUGCCGCCGCCGCCGCCGCCACCGCCGCCUCCUUCCCCCACCCACCUCCGAAGCCCUACCACGCCUCCCCCUUGCCCCGAUCCAACCCCCACCAACGCCGCCGCCGCCGCGCCGCCGGAUUCCUCCUCCGACACCGGCUCUCCGGCGGCGACGUCCCGCAGGAGCCGCCUCGGGGCGACGGCGACGGCGAGGGGCCGAGCUUCGACCUCGCCGUGGGGCUCUUCAACGGCGGGGACUACUACGGGUGCCACGACGCGCUCGACGAGCUCUGGUACGGCGCCGAGGAUCCGAUCCGGACCCUCCUCCACGGGGUUCUCCAAUGCGCCGUGGGAUUGCACCAUCUCUUCAAUCAGGUGAGGUCGGAAAACCCUAGCUCUCUCGUCCUCUUUGAUUCCCGGGGUUUCAAGGCUCCAGGAUAUUUUCAUUUUUUCCAGGUGAAAAUGUAUGCAAGAUCCCUCAACUAUAGGCUAUUUUGAAAUUAGACCUUUUAUUUUAUUUCAUUCUUUCCUCUUACACUUGAAUGUUACUUUCUGAAAUCAUGCACUUCAUUUUCUAACCUGAAUCUGUAUUUGUCAAAAUUCAAAAUUCGCAGUUCCGUCAGAUAAUAUCAGCAGUUAACUGUCGCCAAAACCUGCACUUUCAUCUAAAAGUAGUUAAAUUUGAUAACAUUCCAUUUUCAUUGAUAGAAAUAACUUCAAAUUUUUGUACAUAUUCUUUCUUUAAAUUUUCGGAGUCGGUAUCAAUCAGAACCAUCGAGGCGCGAUGAUGGAGUUGGGCGAGGGGCUCUGCAAGCUCCGGAAGAUGGGUUUUGACGGCGGGCCAUUCCUUCGGUUCGAGGAGGAGGUCUCUGCGGUGUUGGAGUUUGUGUACCAGACGCAAAAGGAGCUCGCCGCAUGUAAGCUUUCGACAUUUUAAGAAAUUCGUGGUUUUUGGUGUUAUAGACUAUUUUAGAAAAACUUUCCUUGCACCUUAGCUCAUGUCAUCUUUUGGCUCCGAAUAAAAUGUUUCACCAAUUUCAAUUCCGUACCUUACAACCUUCUCAAAUGAGUCCAAGAAUUUGUGAUAGUUAGUAAAUUUGGAUGUAAAAUAACACAGGAACGCGUUAGGAGAUUGUAUCAACUCAUAUUUAAUGAAGUGGAAUCACUUUGAUUAUAUAUAUUGUCCAAUAAACUAUCAAUUUUAAUAGCUCAAGUAAAAGAGUUAUGUAUUUUUCUAAUCUAUGAUGAUAAUGCAUUUUGCUGUUUCUAUGCCCGUAUCUCUGAAAUCAAGCUAAGCUCUUAGUAUACUAACCGACACCAUUCCUUGCUUAUAAAAGUACAAGGCCAAAAGGACGAUUCACACCAUUGUAAUACAUGCUCCUUUUCCUCAGUUGCCAAGGUCGUAGAUUUGGAUUGAUUUUGAUUUUACGGAAAGGAUCGGGUAAUGUAAUAUUCUUAUGUAGGAGUGUAAAUUAGGGAUAGGCUAAAGUGCAUGGUUCAUUUUUUUUUUUCCCCUGUAAUUCAAUCAGAAUAUUCUGGUAAGUUAUACACUGGGUGUACUCAAUAUUUUGGUGAAGUUUUAUAUUCGUAAUUUACCUUUCAAUUUUGAUAGUUAGGUGAUUAAUCUUUGGACUUCUUUGCAGUAUAACCGUUUUAGUGAAUUUUCCAAUGAAAUUGAAAUGUCCAUGUAACCGACAUGUAAAUGGUAAGAUACGUUAAUUUCUACAUUGUAUUAAAGUUGACAAAUAAACACUUAUUUGGCAUUUAUAUGGUGAUUACAUGUGAUUGUGUGGACAUACAAUACUUUCAAUGAAGAGCAAGAGAAGGACUUUUAAGACAAUGAUGAAGUACAAAAAAGUAAAAAACUAGGGACUUGAUUGUAAAAUUUUAAAACUUUUAGGGCCACAGUAAACUUCAACAGACGGUUGAAGACUUGUCGCGUAGUGUUUUUUUAUGAAAACAUGAUAUAGUUUCUAAAAUAAUAUUUGAAAGUUCAACAGUUUAUUGUGGACUAUUAUUUUGUUUACUUCUGAAACUGCAUGAUUUACUAGGACUAAGAAUGAAUAUAUAAGAAAAGUUGAAAUAUUUUAGGAGGCAACAUUUAAUUGACAUUGUAUAUGUUGUCAAAUGUUGACCCUUUGUUAGAAAUAUUAGCAAGCUCGACUUUGCUAUUUCUAACUAGCUUUCUUAAUGAGCACCAAAUGAUAUAUGAACUUAAAUGUUAUCGACAGUUCGAGGUUUUGGAAGAAGAAUGUCAUAUUGAUGUUUGCUCACAGAAUUUUAUUACACUAAUCACCGGGUUUCUCACUUGCUCUUCUUUUUCUGUUCUCUAGUUCUUGAAAUAAUUGUCUUAAUCAGUCACGUUCGUUAAGUGCAGAACUGAAGAGCUAUUUAUAAAAUAUUUAGGUGGAUGGUGGUUGUAUUAGAAGAUUUAUCAUGUUCGGUGCAUUGAUACUUCUGGGAGAUGUGUUUUGUAUGCUUUUUUUGAAACAAAAUGAGAUUUGUUGACAAAACAAGUUGAUCAUGCUAUAAUUUUUUUUUUUUUUUUAUUUGUUUUGUUCUGUUUAUAUGCAUGCAUCAUAGGUUUUGAUUUUCAGAAAAAGAUCAAACAAAUGGACUUGCACUUGCUAUGAAACUUAAUUCGAGCAGUACUUUAAUAGUGAAUGUGUGUAGCUUUUGCACAUUUGCCAGUACUUUUCUUUAUAUUGCUGCUUGAUUCAAGCAGUGACGCAUUCUUAAGCAUAAAGAGGUGCACCUACUCUGUUAUUUAGUUCGUGUUCGUGGUGCCGUUAUGUUGUUAGUAUUCACGUCAGGUUAUUUGCAACGCAGUAUAUUUUGUUUUCUUUUCUUGCGACGUUUUGCAAACGCCGCUAGACCUGUACCAUGAAUAUUAUUAAGCUUGUGCAUGAUCAAUUUUACUUGCCAUUUUAAUCGCAUUGCGCAGAUGCAGGUGUGCUUGCGUCCGCGCACACAAAAGAAACAAAGACUUGAGAACUGUUGUUUUGCACUUGCGCAGGUACUGAGGAGCUCUGUUUAGCGAUGGAUGGCUCCGAGAGAUCUUAUCAACUGCUCGGCAGUUUUGCCGCUGGGCAACAAUUAUACCACCGGGAUAUCGAUGAAGAUGGAGUUGCCUACAUAAUCUUCUCCGUGGUCAAUCACUACAGUUCGAAAAGGCCUUCCAAAAUUAGGGUUCCGAUUCUCCAUGCCACUGAGGGACAUCUCAAGGAAUUUGAGGAUAAAUGGUAAUUUGUACAGUAAAUCAUUUGAGUAAACAUAGUUACCUAUAUGUCAUGAACUUAGUGAUUUUGCUCGUCAAAACCUGUGCGGCGUCUGCCUUCCUAUUCGAAGAUGGACAAGUUUAUUUCGAUCUUGCUCGCCAGGAGCUCCGUGCCUUCAAAGACUAAGUACAAGAAAGAGAAAACGAAAGAGAGUGUAUCUGUAGUUUCUGUUUCUAAUAGCGGAGUACUUAGUCUUUAAGGGUGCGGAGGUCCGGAUUAGCAAGAUUGAGGCAGGCUUGCCCAUCUUCGAACAGAAAGGCGGGCACCGCACGGGAAGCAAGGCGACUUUGGGUUCGUUUGGGGUUGCAAGUAGAGCGCCUUGCGCAUGCUCAAAUAAGUUCGUACAUUGUCCAAGGUUACGAUAUAGUUUUUGCGACCGCAUUGGAAAGGAAAAUAGAGUGGACGAGGCAUGCAGAGUGAAGAUGCGUUCGCCGGCGAGAAGCAAGGUGGUCCGGUGAUAGCCGGAGUAGUUGUGGGUAGGAGUGUCGACGAGCCGAACACGAGCGAGCUGAGGUCGGCUCGUGUUCAGCUCGUUUCAUAAACGAGUCGAAUACGAGCUGGUCAUAAGAAUUUAAAAGAAUUAGAAAGAANCGUUUAUUAACGAGCCGAACACGAGCCUAAUAAGAGCUGGCUUAUGAAUACUAAUUUAAAAGGGGUAGAAAGAAUGUAUAUAGGAAAUAAAUUUACACAAUCUUACCUAUUAUACUUUGAUCUAAUAAUUAAAAUUUUACACAUAAAUGAAUUAUUUUAUAAUUGAGUUUUGCUUUAUAUUUAGGGUGGGCUAAAAAUUAAAAAAUAAAAAUUUAUAUUAUAUACAUAUAUAAUUAUUAAUAUAUAUAUAAAUAUAAAAUAUAUGUAUACGAGCUGUUAUCGAGCCGAAUACGAGCGAGUUGAUCUCAGCUCGUGUUCAGCUCGUUUAUUAAACUGGUUGAAAAUUUCAGCUCGUGCUUCGCUCGUUUACUAAACGAGCAAUUCGAUCUCGAAUUCAUUUCGAGCAGAACACGAGUUGGCUUGCGAACACCGAGCUGGAUUGCCAUCCGUAGUUGUGGACAAUCGGCGUUGAAUGAUUGUUUACGGAUGAGGGCUUCUACAUUACAAUUACUCAUCCUAAGUUUUAAUUUUUUUUUUUUAAUUUUUUUUUUUCUAGAUUUUGCUUAAUUGUUCCGGAAAUCUCUAGAACAAGCUGCCUGAAUAAAUUAAAAAGAUUUGUCAGGUAAGAAUUUAUACAUCCCAAGGAGGGGGUUGUAUUCGUGUGAUUUAAUAAAAUAUAAAAUUAUUUUAAUAAAGUUAAAAAAAUAUAAUAUUUAUGAAUUUUUCGUUGUAAACAUGACAUCGCAACCAUAUUAUUCGUUUUCGAUUUCGCAACCAUCCAAUUAUUAAAAAUUAGUUGGUGGAGAAGAGGAACAUCAAAUAAUUGAUGUAUUAUCUAAUACCAAUAAUUAACAAAUUAACAAACCAAAGAGCAAAAAAAAAAAAAAAAAAAAGUUAAUUACUCUAUUGGUCCCCUCUUUUUUUUUCUUUUUUUUCCUUUUUUUUUUUUUUAUACUUUGGAUCUCAAUUUUUAUUUUCUGCAAUCAAAUCACCAAUAGGUUAAUUUUUGAUGGAAAGUGUCAAGCCAGUCCCAGCUACUUAUAUUAUUUAAAUUUAAAUUUAUAUUAAAAGUUCAAGUUUCAAAUUUAAUUUAUAUACUGAAUUAAAUUUGAAGUUGCAAUUUUAUAUUUUGAUCUUAUAUUCAAAUUUCAAAUUUAAGUUUAACUUUGAAUUUGAAUUUCAAAUUUAAAUUUACUUUUGGAUUUAAAUUUUUAAUUUGGAUUUAAAUUUUAAAUUCGAAUUCAAAUUCGGAUGUUGUACAUAGUUUUAAAUUCAAAUUCAGUUUUUUGAAUUUAAUUUUCAAUUUUAACUUCCAAUGUAGAUUUUGAGUUUCAAAUUCAAAAUGUGAAUUUGAAUUCGAGUUCAAAAUUAAAAAUUAGAUUUAAAAUAAAUUUAAAAUUCAAAUUAAAAAUCUGAAAUCAAAUUUCAAUUUCAAUUCAAAUUCAGAUCUUGAAUUAAUUUUAAAUUCAUAUUUUGAACUCAAAUGUCAAUUCAAUUCACAUCCGGGUUUUCAAUUUAAAAUUUUGAUUUAAAGUAAAUUAAAAAUUUGAAUUGAAAUUCAAAGUUUGAAUUUGACUUCGAAAUUGAAUUGAAAUUUAAUUCAGAUUUUGAAUUGAAAUUUGAAAUUCAAAUUUAUAUUUUGAGUUUGAAUUCAACUUUUAGACUCAAUAUUGAUUCCUAACAUCAAAAUUAAUUUUCAAUAGUUGAAAUCAAAAUUCAAAUUCAAUUUCAAAGUCAAAUACAAAACUUGAAUUUCAAUUCAAAAUUUUACUUUACUUUUAAAUCAAAGUUGUAGCUUUAAAUUCUAAUUAAAAAUUUAAUUUUAAUUAUACCAUUGGUUUCCAACCUUUUGUUUCUUUUUUGCUUUAGUCUUGAUGCUGAGAUGGCGCUGACAACACACAUGGCAUCAAAUUUAAACUCUUUUAAAGCUAAAAUCCAAUUGUAAUAAAACACCUCUUUUUCUUUUUUUUUUUUUUUUUUUUUUUUUUGGGAGCUUUAGUCUCUAAAAUAAUCUAGUACUGUUUUGGUGGUGCUGACACGACGCUUGCAUUAAAUUUAACGGCUCUUUUGUAGCUAAGAUUUAAUUAUAAUUAAAUAAUAAAGUUAAAAGCCGUGGACCAAAAGUGCAUUAAUGGUUUUUGACGGUUGAGACUUAAUUAUAAUAAAAUAAUAAAAAUCAAAGGUUGGGAAUUAGAGUGCAAUUAAUACAAAAAAAAAGAGCAACAUUAUUAGAGGUUGUACAAGAGUCAUCAUUCACUAGGGAUGCAAACGGAUCCGGGUUGGUGGAGCCCCCGCCUCGAUUCGCCCCGACGGGGGCAGUAAAUGAGAGAAAAUAAACGGAUUUGGGGCGGAAAAUGGGUUAAAUUUUAUGAUCAGAGACGGAUUUGGGGCAGGAAAUAGGAGAAAUUUUGACAUGUCCCGAAUUCGCCCCGCCAUGAUCCGCCCUGAAUCUGCCCCGAAAAAUAUUUAUAUUUUUAAAAAAUAUUUCUAAAAAAUAAUGUAUUUACCAAAAAGUUUAAAAUACAAAUAACUUAGUACUCUCAUUUCUAAUGUAUUUGAAAAUUUUGAAUUUUAUUUUAAAUUGUGAUUGAUAUUUUUUAUUUUUAUAAUUAAUAUUGUUAAAUUAUAUAUAUAAUAUUAUUAAAAAUUAUUAAUUUAUAUUUUACAAAAUAUUAAUAAUAUUAUAAUUUUAUAAAAAAUAUUAGUUGGCGGGGGCGGAUUCGGGGCGCAGGCAGGAGGCGGAUUACGAGGCGGGGCGAAUUAUGGGAUGUAUUUUUUAGCCUGUCACGGAUUCAGGACGGGAGGCGGAGCGGGCUUUUGCUAGUCGGGGCAAGAGGCGGAGCGGGGCUCCCGCCCCAGGAUCCGCCACGUUUGCAUCCCUAUCAUUCACCUACUUAUCACGUCAAAUUUUUUUUUUUUUCUUUCACUAUAACCCUUAGAUUUUUGGGAAUUUUAGAAUAAAAGUGUAUGAUUUAUUUAUUUAUUUUUUUUUUUGAGAUGUACAAAUAGAAUUUCUAAGGAAAUUAGAUGCACAUCUGUGCAUAGCACCAAAAUAUGUGGAGAGAUAUCAUACAAGUUCCUUCACAAUUAUCCUUCACUUUAGAUUUUAAGAGUUGAGCAAGCAUAUUUAUAAAACUACGUUCGCAUUAUUGCCCCUGAUGAUAAAACAUUCAAAUCAACAAUCGACUUCAUUAAACAUUAUCUGCAAUUCACAAUCUUUUUAAAAAUCAAAUUUUAUAAUAUUUUAAUACUAUUUAUAUAUGUUAUUUAAGUGAUUUCAAAAUUAAUAUUUUUUACAGCAAAUAUAAGAUAUAUUUAAGAUCACUUGAUUAAUUGAUAAGUAAUUUCAUAAAAUCACAAAUCCGGUUCCUAAAAAGUGCAAAUAUUAUAUAUGAUCUUUGAUUUGGAUGCCCAAUAAUUAAUUAAAAACAACAUGAAAAUAUUACCAACUUGAUACUUUCAAAAUAUAAUAGCUUAGUUCUUGAUUUUUUUAUUGUAUUAUUUUUUCAAUCCUAAAAUAAAAAUCUCACGGCACAAUUAAAGGCAUGUUUCGUUCUACAUAAAACUAGUCUGAUUUUUUUUUUUUUCUUUUCCUUUGUAAAAUGAUUUUCACUUGUUUGGCUCCACGUAAAAUUGUCUUUCCAUUAAAAAUUUUUACAAAUGAUAUAUUUUUGUUUUCUGCACAAAAAAAGCAAAAAUGCAAAACCAAUUUGUCGUAAAAACUUUUUUUUUAUCAAAUAUAUAUAUAUAUAUAUAUAUAUAGAGAGAGAGAGAGAGAGAGAGAGCGGGGCUACUAUUUUGGAGUUAUUAAACAUUAUUUAGGUAGUGAAUAGAAUUUUCUAUCAAAAAUUCAAUCUAUUCCAAUUCUUGUACACCGUUAAACUAGCAAAUAUCUCAUACUAAUCGUUAAAAAUUGUCAAUUUUGUAACAUUUUGAUCGUAAGAUAAAUGAUGUCGAAAAAUUAUGAAAUUUGAUUUCUAAAAGUUUUAAAUGUUCUAAAUAAUGUUUAAUGGUAUGGAUAAUCGAUUUGGAAGUUCUAUCAUCAAAAUCGACUUAUGAGUACAAGGACGAUCGUACUCAUAAGUAUAGUAACUGAACUCUCUCUGUCCCUCUCUCUCUCUCUCUCUCUCUCUCUCUCUCUAUAUAGAAUUAGGCCACUAUAUUAUCUAUAGUACCGGAGCUCCGGUACUAUAGUCUCAUUUUUGAUCUUAGGUUGUUCAAAUUAACGAUUCACACCUUUAAAUAUGUUCUAGGGUAUAUGGAGUUCUUAAAAAUAAAAUUUUAAAUUUUUUCGACAUCGUUUACUUAGUAAGUAAAUCAUGUCAAAAUGAAUGAUUGAAAUUGAGCAAUCUUUAAAAUUUGAGAAUAGAACUUUUAAAUUCAAGAUUAAGGAUGUUAAUCUUGAUCUAAAUAGUUUAAAAUAUUUUUUAUCAAAAUUUGAAUAAAUUUAGAUUUUUUUACACCGUUAAACUACAAACUCACCAUACUAGCCAUUGAAAAUUGACAAUUUCAAAAUAAUUUGAUCAUAAAGUAAACUAUGUUAAAAAAAUAUAAAAUUUUAUUCCUAAAAACUUCAAAUAUCCUACAUCAGUUUUAAUAAUAUGGAUCGUUGAUUUAAACAUUCUAAAGUUAAAAACGAGACUAUAGUACCAAAAUCCCGCUAGUAUAGAUAGUGUAGUAGUCUCUCUCUCUCUCUUAAUAUAUAUAUAUAUAUAUAUAUAUAUAUAUAUAUAUAUAUAUAUAUAUAUAUAUAAUAUAUAUAUAUAUAUAUACUAUACUAUCGGUAGCACGGACGCUCCGUGCUACAAGUUGUUUUCGAUGAUGCAGUUUUCAAAUCGACGAUCGGCUCCGUAACAUUGAUCUACACUAUUGAAAGUAUUUAGAAACUAAAUUUCAUAAUUUUUCGAUAUCAUUUACCUAUCAAACAAGUAGUCUAAAAUUGAACGGCUAAAAAUAAAAAUCUCAUGAAAAAUGAUGAUAAAAAAUUUAAAUUCAAGAUACAGAUAUACUGAUCUUACUCUAAAUAGUGAAAAGAAUUUUCUAAAUAAUUUUUCAUCGCAUUUGAUUGUUUUACAACCGUUAAACUCACAACACACCACAUCGCCAUUAAAAUGUCAAUUUUGAGAUCUUUUGAUCACUAGUCAAAUGAUGCUAAAAAAUCUGAAAUUUAUUUCCAAAUACUUUCAAUAGUGUAGAUCAAGUCUAACGGAACCGAUCGUUGAUUUGGAAGGCCGAUCAUCGAAAACAACUUGGUAGGGCGACGAGCGCUCCAUGCUACCGAUAGCAUAGUAGCCGGACUAUAUAUAUAUAUAUAUAUAUAUAUAUAUAUGGAGAGAGAGAGAGAGUUUGACUAUAAUACUAUCAAAAGCACAAAUCUUUAUAAUUAUAUAUAUAAUAUUUUAUUUUUAUAUAGAUAUUAUUAUGUAAUUUUGUAUUUAUAUUUAAUUAUGAUAAUUAAGAUUUUGUCAUUAGAUUUAGUUAAAAAAAAAAAAGGCAGAUAAUGAAAUGCUAACAUAAUGCUAACGCAAUACUGCGGUCACUGCAACUUUUCAUAUUCAUAUAUUGUUGUCACAUCAAAGUCACAAAGUAAAUUGGAAAUGAAGCGUGAGGUUACUCGCUUCACCAUACAUUAUCCACGUAUUAUAAGCUUAUUUCAGCAUAUGAAUUUUUUAAAUUCAUCAUUUUUUUUUAUUUACAGAUAUUUUAGAUCAUAUCUAAUUUAUACGAUUUUAAUCCCAACAUCUUUGUAUUUACAAUUUUAUUUGUGGUAUUCCUUUGAGAAAAAUUUCAAAUUAAUUCAACAAUCUACUUGACCAAAAUAAGGCUAGCGAUCCGGCCCACAACUUGCGAGCCAGCUCGUGCUAGGCGGGAAAUGAGCUCGAGGUCUGCCGCUCGUUCAAUACCCAAGCUGAAUACGAGCUAAAUUUUUCAGUUCGUAUUUUAAUGAGCCAUGUAGGAGUUGGAAAUCAGCUCACUUGUGUUUUGUGAAUUUCAGUUAUUAGACUAAGAUUCUACUUUUCUUUCAACUUUUCACCCAAUAGAAGAGCCGACUAUCUAACUUACUAUUCGCGAGCUAGCUUAUAUUCGUCUCGUUGACAUAUCAAAGAAUAGAGCACGAGCUAAAAUUUUUAGCUUGAUAUUUUAAUAGGUUAGCUCAUGUUCAGCUUACUGAAUAAAUAAGCGAACAUGAGCCGGCCUUAGCUCGCUCGUAUUCAGCUCGUUGACAGCUAUAGACCAAACCGAUCAAAACCUGUCAAAAAUAUUUUGAAACUGUAAGGAAUAAUUUCCAAAUAAAACCCCACAUUAGAUCAAGAGUUUUAAUGAACAAAUAAAGCUAAAAGUUCAGGAAAUAUUUAGUCUUAAUUGGAGGGUCGUAUCUCUUUAUAUAAUGCCUAUGUAUAUAUGAUGUAUUAGUGCCCUAGUGGAUCAUUAUUUUGAGAAAUAUAUAUUCCCCCCACAAAUAAAAUCCCCACAAUGUGGGCAAUUAAAAAUUGAGAUUAAUAAAUAAAGAGGACUCUUUCCACCCCUACAUAUCAUUAAUUUUGUUGCCAUAAUCAUACCAGCUAAGAGCUACUAAUAAGUAAAACUAAUUAAGUCUACUUGGAUGAACUAAUCUUAUACAUCAAUUGAGACUAAAUCUUAAAAAAAAAAAAAACAGUUAACUUCAUAAGAUUAGUAUAGAACAAGUCAAGUCCAUCGCUAAGCGAGCGAAAUAAUCCUAACCAUCAUAGCCAACAGAUUAAUUACAUCUUAUUCCUGAUUAGUAAAUCAUUAGUGCUCUACGAGUGCGCGAGUGCGCAUGUUUUAUGUGUGCUAUGUUCGUGUGUGUACGCGCUCGCGCAUUCGUAGUUGCAAUCUAGUUUAAGUUAACUUCAUCCUUAAACCAGUAGGUUUGUAGGUUUGUUGUAAAAGUUGGUUAAAGUUGGGUACUGUUUCAAGUUGUCUACAAUUCUGGGCAAGUUUUUCCAACAUCUUUGGUGGUAAAUCACAAGAGUUGUAUGACCAACCUUAACUACCUUAAAAGUGAUAUAUAAAGUGGUAAUGGUGACAAUAUGUCAAACCUUAAUGCCCAAGGAUAAAUUUGGUCUAAGCAUCUGCAUCUUUUGGUCAGGGGCUCUUCUCACCUACCAGCAAAUUGCAGAGUGGUUUGGAAUUGAUUCAGAGCAUUACUGCACUCGAAGAACAACGGAAUCGACAAGAAUAACGAAAACCUAAUACAUCAUUUGUGUGUUUUUUAUUAUGUCUUAACGAUUCUUCGAAGACAAGCAACAUAGGUAGUUUCGGAUAACUUUAUUGUUUCUGUAGCUUGUUAGCAGAGAAAUUAGUGUGUUUGCUCUUUCCCACCUAAUCCUUGUAUGUUUCUUUCUUUCUUUCUUUCUCUAGAUCCUUUAUUUUAUUUCAAGAUCCAGUAAAUCUCACUAUUCAUGUGCUUCCCCAAUCUCUCACCUACAGUGGCUUUGUCUUAGAUGUUUUGGAGCCCUAAAAAAAUGUUUCCCUCUUGGAUAGGAAGGUUUGAAAGGGAUUUUUUGCCUCAAUUGACAGUAAUAUUACUGUACUGACAAAUUAGUGUCAGCAUUUAAUUGUCUAAACAGAGUGGAUAAGUAAUCCCUAAUAAGGCUUAAUUAGGCUUCUGUAAUUAUUACUUCUGGGUGGUGCAAUUAGUUGUUUCUGUAAGCUCCAAUUCGCGAGUUUCUAGAACUCGGCAUCGGCCGGGCGAACUGGCACUUCAUGGACUACGUGAAUCACUCUAAAACUCUUCACUCCGCGCCACUACAAAUUUGUUGAACAUGCCCUAGAUCAUUGUGGAAUUUCAAGCAUUUCCUAAUGUUGUAUUUAUUUUCAUGCCUAAGAUUUGCUAUGCCGAGCACUAGGUUUGGUUGGUUUCAAUCUAUCUGAAAACCGACAGAUAUCGAAUGCUCAACCCUAGCAAUCCAGCAUGCAGCAUUCCUUACUUCCUUCUACUCUCUCUUCACGCAGAACGUUGCUAAUCGAUCAUAAUAACCCCUAAUGAUCCAGUAUGUUUAUUUUCAGCAAUGCAUAAUAUGUCUGUAACUCCAGAGAAUAAACAAUGCAUGCCAUUUACAAAGGUGUCUUCUGAACAUUAUCACACAACUGCCUUUGUUCUAGUCAUCUGUCUCCUUAACCAACUACAUAUACACAUCUUUAAUUCACAUUACUGGCAAUUUCACCAGAACUUUACUCAGAAUCCAAGCACCAGGUUGAUCUCCAGACAACAAAAAAAAACUACAAUUCCAACACCACCGUCCAGGACGAAAUAGUUUUAAAAUACGCUAGAAGUGACCGCAGAAGAGCAAUAAAUAGCUUCAAAUAGCGCAACUACUGGAAUUAUGUCUACAGAAGUUGCAUUUAUCAUAGCAUGGAUUCACCUUCCCAUCCUAAUGUCUGCUACAGAUGAAGUGGAAAUUGCACAAGCUAAUUUUUUGAGUUACCUUUUAUUGAUAUCUUUUGGACAACUAUCUAGUGUCUUCUAGUUUAUAGCCUACAACAGUUUCACCUGCUGACAGCACAAUUACUACUGGCCACUCUAGAAACUUGGGGAAACUCCCUACUUCACUCUCUAAGAACAAUAAUUCUUGAGACAUGUCCAUGCCACCACAAAAAACUGCAGGUGACACAAAACACUCCACCUACAAAAUGUGACAAAAUAUUUAGCCUUAUUUAGGGUUGAAAACAAAAACUAUCUACAACACUAAUCUAAGAGCAUAACUUACUUUACACACAACUGAUAUUUCUUUAAUUAGGCGGAAGAUGGCACACUAAAAUCAGAAUGAUUUAUUUCUACAUAAUGAUGUAGUGUUUUCCAAGGCAAUUUCAUUCAUUUCUUCAAGCAAAGGAUACGAAAUUGGAUCUAAUUUAACAGAUGAAGUGCAGUGCAGCACCGAAUUUUGAGAAACUGAAGCAAGCAUCAUAAUGGCAUAUCUUAUAACAGUGAAACCAACAAGAUUACAAAAAUUAGAGUCGUCAAGAAAAUGAGCUACAGAAACUGCAUAGACAUACAACAAAACAUAACUGUACAGACCUCAAUCAAACAGAGAUGCUUCGCAUCUCGUAAUGCAAACAGCUGCUGCGUCUUAAAUCUUAGUAGAAGAGCAAGAUGAACGUAAUGAACGACAAAAACAACAACAUAUCUAAAAACCAUUCAUCUCCAGCAGGUAAGUUCUUCUCUUCAUCAGCGCCUUCGCGGCGACCUUAAACGGACCAUCGAAUGCCCCCGAAACAAAGGCAUCAGUCUCCUUCCUACUAGUAUGGAUACUACCGCUGCAGCCCUCGGGAGAAGGCUUAAUCGCCACCAGGGUGGCCCCUUGCAAUCCCAUACCUUCUGGAAGAUCGAGAUAAGGCGCGUACCUCAACUUCAUGUUGGAGGCCGGAACUUGAGUUCUGUUGGAAGAGGCCGAAGCCGCCAAUUGGUUUUCUCUAAACUCCUUAAGUUGCUCAGCCCCCAUGAACAAUGUGCCUUGCCCGUCGGCGUCCGUGAGAACCAAGCUCAUCAGUGUCGGGUGGUCCUUAAUAAUCGGUCGGAGAAGAUAAUGCCUCGUGGAAGCAGCAAUUAGGGAACUGAUCGUCCACACGACUCGCAGUUUUAGCCCUCCGUUAGUGUAAAACGAUUCGGGUAUGCUUCCAUUGUCUUCCGACGAAGCUUCUUGCUCCGAGCUGCCUGAUUUAGGGCUUACUCGGGUUCCGCCCAAGAUCACGCAGUUUUGGAGCGUGCUCCCAAAUUCGGCCCUCCAUUUCAACAGAACUCCUUCCUCAGUCCCGACAUCUCCGGCAGGGAGCUCGAUUCGGAGGUUCCGGACAUGGGUGAAGUUCCUGAGCACUUGGGCGGGGGAAUGGUGGGAGAGCUGGGGGAAGAGGGGCUUGCUCCCCCCAUUGGGUCCGCGGAGGUGGUGGAACGGCUUUAGGAGUGUGAAAGCCAUCAGCUUUAAGAAGUGCGAGAAGAGGUUCCGGGGUUUCGGGGUGGAAGAGUUCAGGGCUUCGUCGGAAUCACCGUCGACGGUCACAACACGAUCGAUCUUUAUGUAGAUAUCGUGGACGAGAGGGGCGAGGACGUUGAACCGCUUCGAGACGGCCAAGCAGCGGCCGAGGGAGCGAACGUCCGCGAGCUUGUUGAGGAUGAGGAGGAUUAGAGAGUCGGGUAGGCGGUCGAAUUGGUCCAUUUCAAGAGAUGGAUCGGCGUGGAUUCGAGCUUUGGGGUGCAUUUUUUUUUAUUUUUUAUUUUUUUGAAGAAUCUAAGUAUUCCUCCUUUUCUCCUACAAUAAAUUCCUAGAUAGGAAUUUUUGAACUCAAAAUUGAACAACCAAGAACUAAAAAUUAAAAAUGGUGGCUAAUUUCCUAAAAACUCUUCCACUGAUCCAAUGAUCUGAGAAAACAAUCCAAGGAGAAGCAAUGCAUUAAUGGACCAAAUCUAAACAUAUUCCACUUGAAUUAGAUGAAAAGGUAAGAAAUUGAUGGAGUAAAUUGAUGAGAGAAAAAAAGAUACUUAAACCGAUCAUUCAUCACAAGAAGUAGUUGCAAGAAAAAUUAGGAUCUACAUACGAAAUAUAACACCAAAAAAAUAGGAAAAAUUUAUCCACAAAUGCAUACGAUUCCUCUAAAUGACGAACAUAAUCCUCAAAUCAAAAAAAUUAAUGAGCAAAAGAUCAGUAAAUUUUCACCAAAGUUACUAAAAUAAGCAACUUUUAGCUCAAAAAUUUAGCUGUAAUCAAAGUAAAACAAAACCUAGCUCAAAAUCGAAUUAAAAAUAUGAUUUACCUUUUACAGAUCUAGCACGGCAACUGAGGCACCUGAAUCAUAUAACCCUACCAAAAUCCAAACCAAGACGCUGCAAAAUCCGACCUUUCUCCACCUCCCGACCAGAUCAGAUCACUUCGAGCUCAAACCAGUAACAAAACCCUAAAUCCGGCCCCGAAAUCGGGCGAAAUUCGAGGGAAUCUCCACCGCCGAGCGACUCCACGCACGGGCGAUUCCAAGAGGGAGAAUCUGAUAGAGAGAUUGGGGGAUUUGAUGACGAAUUAGGGUUGCGGAUUUGGGGAUUUCUCUUCUCCUCUCUCUCUCUCUCUCUCUCUCUUGUUUAGAACGAAGUAAGAAGCAGCUCCUCCCCUCACGCGCUUUAUGCUGUUUACUAGUGAGCACGGAGGGAGAUAACGGAGCAAACGGCGCCGUUAAGUACACGUCAGCAUUCGGAGAUUUAGAUUCUUUGUAGAGAUAUUAUUGCGUGCGCCCGGUGUAUGAGCAUAUUUCACACACCGCCCUUUAAAAUUCUAGGGAUUGAACAAACUUCAAAUACCAACCUGUGGUUUCAUACUUUUUCACUUUAGUACAUAUAGUUUAAAGUGUAUUAAUUUAAUACCUAUGAUUUUGUACUUUUUUACUUUAGUACCCUAAAGUUUAAAGUGCAUCAAUUUAGUACCUUGUGGUUUUAUUUUGUUCUUUUCGUCGACUUCUGUUAAUAUUUUGUUAAAUUAUAUAGAAAAAACUUCAGAUACCCUAUCUAGGUUUAUUCGAAUAUUUAUUUUAGCACCCGUUAGUCUUAACUUUGUCACUGAGUUUUUUUUCCCUCCGUUAAUAUUUCGUUAAAUUAUAUACAAAAAACUUCCGAUACCCUACUUAGGUUUAUCGAAUAUUCACUUUAAUGCUCUUUAAUUUUAACUUUGUCACUGAUUUAAUGAAAAAAAUUAGUAAAAUAGAUAAUAAAAAGAGAAAAAUAAAACCGCAUGGUACUAACUUGAUACACUUUAAAUCACAGGGUACUAAAAUAAGAAAUACAAAACCAUAGGGACUAACUUGAUACACUUUAAGCCGCAGGAUACUAAAGUGAGAAAGUGUGAAACCACAGAGGGAUAUUUGAAGUUUAUCCAAAAUUCUAUCAUAGAAGCUUUAAAAUUAGAAUCUAAAUCAUUGGAUGUAUGUUUACUUCUACUUGGAGGGAUAAAUACGAGGCUUCUACAUAAUUAGCAGUAAAUAGAAGAGCAUUUAUGAAAUUAAUUCUAAAAUAAAGGCUAAAUAUUAAUUUGCUCCCUUGUGAUUUAGCAUAUUUUUUACUAUGUUAUCUUGUAGUUAAAAAAGUAUUAUCUAAUUGUUUUGUUAUUUUAUUUUUAUUUUACUAUAAAAAUAUAUCGUUAAAUAGGGUAGAUUUUUAAAAAAUUUUACUUUACGAUCACGUGGCUAAAAAUUUUUUCUUUGAACAAAAUAAAUAAAAUUAUAAAAUAAUUAAACAUAAUUUUUUGAACCACAAUAAAAAUAGGUUUAAACUACACGUACAGACAAAUUAAAAUUUACCCUAAAAUAAAAAUAGGUAACGCCGUUAGAUAGGUAACGGCGUGGGGGGUUAGGACAAGUGGCCAAUUGUUGUAUGGUGGAUGGAAAAUAAGUGUGAUAUUUUCUUUCUUACUCUGUAGUAAUAAUUAGGGUUAAUUUUAUACAAAUACCUACAAACAUAAUUUUCUACAAACAUAAUAAAUUGUAAAUAUUUUUCUAUGAAAUUCAAUUUUCAUAUAUUGUACUUUCGAAAAUUCUAAAUAUGUCUCUCUGGUUUUGUUACUGUUAAAAUACUGUUUAUUUUAUAAGUGAAAUGAUAUUUUUUACAAUCACAAUUAUAUCUCUCUAAAAAUCCUAACUGCUAUUCAAAGAGAGGUAAAAAGGUCAAUUCACCUCAUUAACCAACUAGAGUUAAGUCUUUAAUUUAUGGUUAAUUAAAUUUUUUUAACAAAUUUUAACGACAGAGAUAUAUUUUAAAAUAUUAGGACUUUGCAGGAACAUUAUAUAAAAAUUAAAAUUUAUUGAAAUAUAUUUGUAAUUUACUAUAUUUGCAGGAACCUUUAUGCAACUAACCCUAAUAAAUAUCACGGGUUUUUUUGUGGACAUGGGAAUUUGAGAAAAGAUGCGAGUAUAAAUUUUAAAACUCAAAAAAUGUAUCUUUAUACUUUGCCCUUAUUUCAAUUUUGUUGGCAAAUUUUAAUAGAAAGAUUUUUUUUCCUUUUUUUUUUAGAUUUGCUGCUUUAGAAUUUUAAAAUAAAAUUUUUGGAAAUUGUGAAAGAAAAAAAAAACAAAUUAUUUCAUUAUUGCAGCUUUAGAAUUAUAGAAUAAUUUCUUAUUUUAUUGACCAAAAAAAUAUACCGAAAGAAUUCACGUUGAAAUAAUUUUAUUUUUAGUUACUUAUUUUGAUGAAAACUUUUAACUACAUUGUAAGUAAUUGUGCGCAAUUUAGAUACAUAAUUUUUGGCAAAUAAUGUUUUAAUCUCUUAUGAAAAGCAAAAAAAUGAAUGAAUAUGACGAAGCCAAGAGUAGAGAGAGCUAGUGAAAGGAAUAUUUAUUUCUUUAGUAAUAAAAUAUUAUAAUUGCUUAUUAUGUAUUUUUAUCAAUUUUUUUUAAAAUUUUAUUGUGAAAAAUUAUUUACUAAUUUAUAGAAUAGAAAGUUUUCAGCUGUGUUAUCGACGUAGGAACUGUAUAGUAUCGAUAUUUUGUUAGCACGAUAUGACAUGAUGGAUACGACUCGUGCAGAUGAACACUUAAAUUCUUGAUCCAAACAUACGUGAUAUUUUUUUGGAAAAAAUAUCAUGAUAUGAAGUUCGUCUUAAGGAAAAUCUAAACUAAUUAGUUGUUUUCCACACGGAAUAUUUAGUUUAAAAUAUAUUUAUUUUUUAUUAUAAUAGGAAGUAGUAAAUCACGAAGAUUUGAUAAAAGAAGUUUGGUAGUGCCUUUUCAAAAAGCUCUCUAUUCAUGGGAUAUUUUCGUAACACCUCCCCUAGCUUUGAUCCAAACCCAACUAUGAAUCUAUAUCUAUAUCUAGACCUUUUUAUAAUGAGAUAAUAACUCACAACUUAAUAUUGCUUUUAUUUAAAAAAUUUUAAUGCUAUAAGUGCUUUUGUUUAGACUAUAUAUUUGUUAAUCAUCUAAAAGCCACAAAUAUAAAUUGUGACUUUAAGAGAAUAUUGAAGUAAUUAAUUGGACAUAAUUAAGGAGAAGCUUAAUUAGUACCCACAUUAAUGAUUAAUGAAAUCUAGUUAAAAAUAUUGGUCAACUUCCAUUUUAUGGUAGUUGGAGUUCUUGCUUUAGUAUUUACCUGUUUUGCAUUAAUGAAACAAAACAUAAAAGAAAGAUAAUGUUGAAUGAAAAAUGCUCCUCAUAUAUUCCGAUCGGGGUGUACAAAAUACACCCCACCAAUCUAAGUGCGUGAAAAUAUUCCUACCACCGACCAUUCUUAGCGCAAGCGACAAAAGAGUCGGUGGUUGGUAUUUGAGGUUCUUAAGUUCGAAUCCUAACUGAUUCAUAUUUUUAGCUAAGUUUAUUUCUAAAUGAAAUAAACGAAACGGAACGGGUGGCAUACUAACUAUUUCUCUCUCAAAAGAAAAAGAGAAAAUAUCCCCACCCAUAGAUGGGUGGGGGGUAAAUGGUACACCCUGAUAGGGGUGUAACACCGGCAUUGCUCAUGUUGAAUACAUAUAGUUACCUACACAUCAUUUCCUGUUUUUUUUUUAAUAAAGAAAUUUGUCCUUUUUAAGUAUCUGUUGGAACAAAAAAGAGGUUAGGGCAAGCUAUUUAGUCUAGCAAGUCACAUUAUUAAGACCUUUUUUUUUCUAAUUUUGAUCAAGAAGUUUUAGUUACAAAAGAGAGAGAGAGAGAGAGAGAGAGAGAGAGAGAGGCAAAUAAUGGAGUAAACGUGACGAAUUCUAUCAUAUAGGAUUCUUCCAAUAUCUCAAAUUGUUGUUGUAAUAGAUCAAAUUGUCAUAUUUUUUUCGCAAUGAACUAACAACAUUUCUAUACUCGUUACACCGAAACAAAACUUAAACUACAAAACUAGCAAGCAAAGUUAGAAGUUUACCUUUUUGAAUAUAUGGUAAAAUUGCAACAUCAGAACUUGAUGGUCUAUAGAAAUCUUUUUCAAGAAAACCAAAAGUGUUCUAAAAGAUAGUUAACUAAUAUUUACCCACUAGUGAUACUCAAUUAACAAGCAAAAGAGAUUGUGAAAUAGCAACAAUUAUUUUGCGAUUACUAGGGUAAUUUUCUAAAGAAGUCACCUUUUUUUUUAUUAUUAUAUCAUAUACCAUCUACACUACUUGUAGUUUUGAAGCACUUUCUAUUUAUAAGGAACAAACUAUCCACAUGUUUUUCCCCUUUUCUGUAUUUUGUUUGUGAGAUGUUUUGUUUUGUUUUUUAUUUAUUUAUUUAUUUUUUUUUUUGAGAGAAAGGUAGCAUACUACCUGCUUCGAUUAUUUCAUUUAAAAAUAAACUUAGCUAGAAAUGCGAAUCAACUAGGAUUUGAGUUUGGAUCUCGGGUACUAACCACGAAGCUCUUUUGUCAUUUGCGUUAAGAACGAUCAGUGUGAGAUGUUUUUUUGAAACAUGGUUAUGUAGUCUUCUAUUAGUAUUUAUGUUUUAUGGCCUUUUAUUGACUUAUAAAUAUUCAAAUUAAAUGGCAUCAUCAAACUCCCCAUAAAAGUUUGAAAUAAUUAAUUGUCAUGCAAUGUAGAUGAAAAUGACAUGAAGAAUCUUUAAGCAACCCUAUAUAUAUUUUAUAAAUAGUUGCCAUCUUAGACCCACCAUUUAUGUUUCCCCAACAAAUGUUUUGUUUACUUCAAAAUAUCAUGAUUUGAGGAUAAGACCAUCUAUCUAUCUAUCUAUCACACACACACAACACCUUAUCUAUAUCCAUUUAGAAUUUGUAAUAAAUAAUUAUCAUAAUAAUAAUGUUUCCACUAUUGGCUCUUGACCCCACUGAAUUUGGAGAGGUACAAUUCAUAGAUAGGCAGCUUGUAGCUUUCAAAAACAAUGUUGGGGGUUGCAACAAAAGGUUCCUUAUUAUUAGGAAUAAUGUUUCUUUUAGUAAAAAUUGUAUUGCUCAUCUUUAUACUUUUAAUUUAAGCACUUCAGUUUAUAAAUUUUUACAUAUGUUGCAGUUUUUUAAUUGUUAUUCGUAAAACGCAGCGGAAGUAUUCGCUCGUAUCUUUUAGCGAAAGCAACUUACGUAAGAACAUAAUGAGUCCGGAUCGUAGAAAUUGAUUCACGUGUUUUCGGAUUGUUCACGAAGGUUUUCUAUCGCUCCAAACUUGCGGUGGAUCGAACUACAAACGAGCACGAUCUCUAAUCCACCGUUCAAAAUCUUCUAAAAUAAUAGGUUAAUAGAGGAUGUGGUUUCUAUCUUUCUCUCUUGAUUUUUUUGUUGCAUUUCUUAUUUUAUCUUAUGUGAGAUUACCCGUAUAUUUAUCGGUUUAUAAUUAUUUUUUUUAGAGAUAUGUAGCAUGCUACUCGCUUCAUUUAUUUUAUUUAGAAAUUUAGAAAUAAACUUAGCUGGAAAUGUGAAUCAACUAGGAUUCUAAAUUGAGACCUCGGGUACCAACUACCAAGUCCUUUGCCACUUGCGUUAGGGAUCGCUGGUAAAUUGGUUCAUAGUUGUUAUCAUAAUAUGGUUAGAAUUUAUCUUUAAUUAGUUUUUCAAUUUUAAAAAAAAAUUAAUCAAAGUCCAAUUAGAUAAUAUAAUAAUCGUCGGAUCGAGCCCAAUUAUAGGCCCACCCGAUUCGAUUUAACCGAAUGCCAAUAUUAUCCUUAAUCUUUCUUAUGAAAUAACUAUUUUUACUCCAUCUGUAAAAUAAUUUAUUUAUUUCUCCUAUGUCAGCAGUUUUUAUCGGUCAUUCUUGUAGCGUGAAGAAACUACUGAAGGCACAGUUUGGAUAUCGGAAUAAAUUAUCAUUAUUAUAUUUGGAACGAAAACCUCUGAUAUAAUUCGAACCGAAGAUUCUGAUUUUUUAUUUCUUAAAAGGUCUUGCAAUUUAUGAUUUGUUACGGUAACAUAUUUUAUUUUACUAUGACAAGAAAAAACUUGAUAGUGAAAUAUGAUUUUUAUUAGCUCAGCGUUUAAUCACACUCCGCAUCUAUCAAAUAUUAUAAACAUUCCAGAUAUGUUUUUUUUUUUUUUUUUUUUGAGAGAGAUAGGUAGCACGCUACCCGCUUCGUUUAUUUUAUUUAGAAAUAAAUUUAGCUAGAAAUGUGAAUCAAUUAGGAUUCGAACUUGGGUCUCGGGUACCAGCCAUCAAAGCCUUUGCCACUUGCUCUAGGAACGGUCGGUAACAUUCCAGAUAUGUUAAAAAGAUAUAUAUAUACUAAUUAAAUAAGAUGGUCAUACAUUUUAAAUAAAAUCACAGCGAUGAACUGGUUAAAAAGUGGGGGACAACAUUCAUUAGCAUCACAUCCAAAAUUUGACCCACACUUAUUUUGGUUUAAUUCUAGCUCGAUCCAUAUGAUGCUACAGAUACAAAGUACUGGGGCCAAAUUACCCUAAUUUAUUUCCACAGUGGGUGUGGGUGUUACGAUGGAGUAAAUAUAAUAUAUGUCACAGUUUUCACCGCCAUCGGCUAUACUCAUACAAUGACACGAUCAGCUAACAACAAUAAUUCGUUGGACAUAAACCAGCCAAAAAAAUAUAUUUACGCCCAGUUAUUAUUACUAGCGUGUAGAUUUCAUAUAAACUGAUCGGAAUCAAUAUCCCAUCCGAUUUAGGAUUAUUCGGGGCGUUACAAACUCUCCUUGUUUAUAUCCAACGUUCUCGUUGGGUCCAAAUCAGAUCAUAGACAGACAGACCGGGACCAAAAUUAUCAGACGAUGCGAGAUUCUAGAGAGGACGUCGGGUUCAAAUCAGAUCAGAGAUAGAUAGACUAGGACCAGAAUUAUCAGACCCGCAUAGUACUUAGCUCUCACACUUCCGGCUGGUAUUCGGCUCUGAUGCCAAAUGCAACGAUCCGACCAGCUAGGAACAAUAACUUGUUGGGCCCAAACUACCGGCUCAAAAUACUUAAACUCAGUUAUUAUUAUUAACGUGUAGAUCUCAUAUAAAUUAAUCGGAAUCAACAUCCCAUCCGAUGUGGACUAUUGGAGGCGUUACAGAUACAAUGUUACCCCUUUCGUUAUUUUAUUUAAAAAUAAACUUAAUUAGAAACAUGAAUCAAUAGGAAUUCGAAUUUAGGAUACCAAAACUAAAUUUUUUAUCAGUUGUACUAGAAACAAUCGGUACAUAAAUCAAAAUUCAGAGAGUAAAAUAUACAAGUAAAAAAAGUACGUAGAUAGAACAGAGUCGAGUCAGAGAAUCGAGAUAGUACAGGAGUUGGCCAUACUUUUUACGCUUCUUAUUGUUUACGGCUUUGACAAUGUACACACAUAAAUAAAUAUAGAUGUAAUUAAUCCUAGUUUUUUUUUUUUUUUUUUAAAUUUUAAAGAAGCGUCGUACUAUACCGACAUGGAUCCAACCACUAUACAGAUCAGCAAAAUAGGAUCAGGACCACCAAAUUGUUUGCACAUGUUUUGAUCCCUCCUUUUAUUUAUUACCACUCGUUUGGUAUGAAUCACUGGUCCAAUCACCAUUAGAGCUCGGUUGUUUUUAUUCCAAUGGUUAAUUUAAAAAACGUGCGAAUCUAAUAAGUAUAUAUAUAUAUAUAUAUAUAUAUAUAUAUAUAUAUAUAUAUAUAUAUAUUUGAGUAAUUCGAUGUAGGAUUUACUUUUGGAUGUUGUGUGGUUAAGUUCAAAAUGUUUGGCUUAAUUAAUUUUGGUCCACAAAUUAUGAGUACGAUGGACUUUAGUUCGCCGUAAUUUUUGGUCCGUAUUUUUUAAACUUUUAUAAUUAAAUUAUUUUCUUUUUCUUGUUUUAACUAGAUGUUGAUUGUGCGCCCCAAUUUUGAGGAGGUUAUCUAUUUUAGAAGUACUCUAGAUAUAGCAUGCUUAAAUUUUUUAACCUUUUGAGUAUAGUUAUCGUCUAAAAUACUAUAGCCGGAUUAACUCUUUAGGCCCUGAUGUUCUCGUUGGAUUUAAAUAUACUCACCAUCAUCAAGCGAGGCGACUUAAACACAAGAAGCAAGCGAUGUGAGACUUGGCUCGCUAGUUUUAGCUGGUCUCCUAGGGAGCUGCGCUCCACCCACAACUGUCGUCAACUGGAGAGCGACGCUCAACAUGCACGUUGUAUGACUUUAGCUGAGCUGAGACUUAUUUCACAUUUCCGACCAGUGAUUGGCUCAGAUACUACUAGAACGUUUUAUUUUCCAAGAGGUCAUCCAUCGUAAAAUUACUAACUCUAGAAAGCUUAACUCUCUUAAUCUUUUUGGUCUAACUACCAUUCACAAUAUUAUAGUCGGAUUAAAAAAUUUAAUCCUAUUAUAUCUCAUAUAUAGGACUGUUUUAAAUCCUAAGAGUGUCACAUUGAUGAAUUAGUUACUUAUGUGUAAAUGAUGUAUCUACAUUAGUAAUUUAUCAAUAUUUGAUUAAAAUAAUUUGGAAAGUAUGAGCAAAAAAUUAUAAUGAAUUAAACUUGCAAAAUUAGGGUGUCACACUUCUCAUAGUUUGAGGAUAAAAAGCGUAAUUUAUCUUCUACCUUCUUUUUUUUUUUUCUUUUUUUUUUUUUUGCUUUUAACCUAUAUUUGGUGUGUUUGAUUUGUAUAGUUUGUGAAUUGAACUAAAUGUUAUAUUCUUUUAAUCAACAAUCUAUUAGGAGCGUUAUUUGCUCUGACACCAAUUACUGAAAUCAGUAUUUGUGCUGAUACCAAUUAUAAUCCAAAAUCUAAAAUAUGAAAAUAGAAUAAUAUGAAGAGGAAACAAUAGAGGAAGAAGAACUAAACUACAAGUAUUUUUAUUAAUCAAACCCAUCUAAUUACACCCUCAGGGGCAUUUUAAAUCCUAUUUUAAUUACACUUCAACUCUAAAUAAACGCAAAUCCAAUUAAACCAACUUCAAUAUAUAAAAAAUUGGUCUAAUCUAAAUUAUGGAUAAAUUUUAUCUUUUAUAAAAUUUUGAGUUAAACUCUAAUUAAGUUUGAAUUAUGAUUUCCAACAUGACCAUCAAUGUGUUGGUGCUUAAUUUGUUUUUGUUUGUAAGCUUGAUGCCACUUCAACAUAGUACUUAGUGGAGCUUUAAGAUUUGUGUUCUUUUGAUCUUUUUCCAGAUUCUUUGAGCCCUCCCCACCUUCAUAUAUAUCUUAUAACUGGAUCCAUGAAAUUAAAGGUAAAAGCAUAUGUCUAAGCCUAAGAUGCUUCAUUAAAAAAAAGCAAUAUAUAUAGCUCUACUGCUAUGGCACCAAAAACAAUUAUUUUGGGUAAAUUGCACACCUAGUACUAGUCCCUAAACUUAAAGUUUAGUUUGGUUUAAAAAUUUUUAACUUUGUUCUUUAUUGACAAUUGUUUGUGAAAAAAUGAUUAUAACAUGUACUUUGCGACAUCUACGUAUACAUUUGUGCAGCAUUUUCUCCGUCUAAAAUUUGAAUAUUUGAAUCAUUUAACCAUGAGAUGGAUAAAAAAUCGACAAAUUUGUGGUGGUGGACGAACAUAAAAAUAUAUUAGGUGUAUACAACGAUAAGAAUUAAAGUGAAACACCUUUCACAGUUUGUGAUUUUCAACAUUUAACUGAAAAAAAAAAUUGAGAUCCAAAACGAUACUUAACGAGAAGGUUGAUGAGGGGCUAGUAAUUCAAUUCAACUAUAAAUAUAUUAGUCUCAUAAAUAUUAAUUCUGAUUUCUCUUUUCUCGUCUUAUCUUUUUUUUUUUAUCUCCAUAUGCCGAAAACUUUAUCAUGUGACGAUCACGUGAAUGAUGUGGUAUCCCAAACCAAUUACAUCUGGCUUUAGAGUUUAUUCACCGCGUGCGUCGUGAUUUUUUAAAACAUAAUUUUGAUUAAAAAUAAUAGUUAAAAAAGGAAAAGAAAACAUCCAUAAUUUGGCUCAAUCAAAUCAUCCUUAAUUGCACCAUUUAUUCUUGUGGUGGUCCUCAAACCAACAGAAAUGCAUCUGUGCUUGGGGAGCAUGUGAAGCUACAAUGGGUGGUAGUAAUUGUACAAAUCCCUCUCUCUCUCUCUCUCUCUAGAGCUCUCUCUCUCUCUCUCUCUCUCUCUCUCUCUCUCUCUCUCCUUUUUUUUUUUUUUUUUUUUUAGUUGAGCAAAUCACAUGAGAGAAUGGAGAUUGGCUCAAAUAUUGAGGAGGAGGCAUUUUCAGAGUACAGCUUAUUUUAUUAUUUUUUGGUGUGGGUUUCAUGUGAUGGUUCCCAUGCUUUUAAAGGCAUAAAUUAAAUUCCUAAUGAUAGGGAUUACAAUUUUGGGGAGGAAGGGGAAUUAAUUCUUUCUUUUUUAAAAAAAAAAUUAAAAAAGAGAUGAAAAGUUCAUUUAGUUGUUAUAUAUCUAUCUUAAAUUAAGUCCAUAUUUUUUAAAAAUAACUUAUUGUUAAUAAGCAAGAGGGGAAGAUCUUUUUUGUACAUCGUAAUAGUGUUAAAUACCGAUGUAUCAUUCCAAAGUUUUAGAAAUAAAUUAUAUAUUCUUCUAAAUUUUAAAUGAAUAUGUAUAUCAAUAUAAACUUGUAAUACUUUAUGAAAAUAUUCUUAAAAUUAUAAAUUUUAUUUUCUAUUUCUUCAUUUUAGCUUCCAAUCUGAUUCAUUAAAGAAAAUGACAUAAAUCGAGAGGAGUAUCUCCUACCAAAUUAUAUUUUUUGUUUCUUUAUGUUUAAUUCCAAAUUACUCUAGAUCGAGAAAAGAAUCUUCUGUGGUAACGUAGCUUAAUUCUUCGUUAUAAUAGAAGUUAUGAUCAUGCAACAAAUGCUAAAUCUAUAAGAAAGCAAUCGACUUAUUCGAAAAGAAAAUAAAACUUAUUUAGUAGGUGAAAAAACUAAAUCUAUAAGAAACUAAUUGACUUAUUUGAAAAGAAAAUAAAACUUAUUUAGUAGGUGAAAAAAAAAAAAAAGAGAGAGAGAGAAGAGGGGAAACUAAAGAAAAUAAAAUAAAAAUUGACAAAAAUUUAGUUGGAAGGGUGUUUUCAUAAUGUAUUACAAGUUUAGAGAGAGACGCAGAUUAAUUUAAACUAUGGAGGAAUAUAAAAUUAUUUUUAAACUUCAGAAGAAUACGCUAGUAUUUAAUCCUUUGUAAUAAGUACCACAAAUAAAAGUAAUAAAUUUAAUCAAACGUUUCCAUCGUGUUAAAAGAAAAAAAAAAUUGAGUUUAAAGUUUUUUCAAAUAUUAUUUUAAAUUAAAUUUAUCAUAGGAGAUGAAAAGACCCACUAGCAAUAAUAAUUCAUCGAGUUCAAACUAUCGGCCCAAAAUACUUAAGCCCAAUUAUUAUUAAUAGGGUGCGAGACCUCAUAUAUUUUAAUCAGAAUUAUUUUAUCAUCCGAUGUGGGACUAUUAAGCCGUUACAAACUCUUCCCAUUUAGACUCUGACGUCGUCGUCAGGUCCAAAUCCAGAUCACAGACAUACAGAUUAGAAUUACUAUGACUGCUACCGGUUCAAGAGGUGGCUCCCACCAAAUCCGUUAGUGUAGCACUUUGCCUCAUUUAGCACUUAGCUCUCACACUUUCAGCUGGUAUUGUUUCUGAUACCAAUUGUAACAAUCCGACCCGCUAGAAAUAAUAACUCGUUGAGCCUAAACCACCCGCCCAAAAUGCUUAAGCUAGUUAGUAUUACUAGGUUGUGAGACUUUAAUCAGAAUCAUUUUUUCAUCCGAUAUAAGGACUAUUGGGGAGUUACAUUUAUAAUAACGAUGAUGCAUCAAUAUUUAGUCAACUGUUCGAAUUCGGAGCGUUGACCAAACCUAAUUUAGUUUUAGUUUGGUCUCAAAGAGUAAUGCUAUAGAGCCCUAAUUCACAAAGCCAUUUGAUUAGGAGCUCAUAAAUUGGCUUUUGGAGGUGCACUUAAAUCUAAUAUUCCGAAUUCGGAGCAAUUUUCAUAUCAAAAUCUUUGGCAUAACUUUGCAGCUCCUUUUCAAAAUUUUCACUACAUGCAUAAAAUGUUGCCACCAAUUCAAAUACACUUGAAAUUUAUUUCCUUUGCGUUGAUACGUAUAGCUUGAUAAUUAAGUACUCUGUAAUAUGACCCUCUAAACGGGUCGGGCCGGUCAAUUGGGCUAAUGGGCCAUCGAUCCGUUACUGUUGUUAUUGAAGUGGAUUGGAUCAAGUGGGUCUUGUUUAAACCCUAACUUGGCUUGAUCCAAAUUACUAUUUGCAAAAUAUAAUCCCGCAUUAUGUUAAGCGUAUUCAACAAUAUGGAGCGGGAAAAUUUUUCACAUUUGAUUUGCGAAAAUCUUAGCAUGUUUGAUUCAAAAUCAUUAAAUAACUUUUUAGAAAGAUGGCAUGUAUGAAUCAAUGUCAAUGUGUUAUAGAGAUAAAGAAUUUAGAUAAGAUCUUUGGGUCGAAAUAUGCUAGACGCUGUCCUAAAAAUAAGAUUGUAGCCGACGAUCACUUGUAGCGAUACAGCAACCACGAGCCAUUUUAUCGGCAUGUCUCCAAGAUAGCACAAUGUGAACCGGAAAAUUGAGCUCUCAAAGAUGCAGCAAAUGGAGCAAAGUUCAGAAGAAUAGUAAAGCUCAGUAAGGAGCCACAGCAGGCAGCCAAUAAGGGCCAAGAUGUCAAAGGCUAGUUGAUCACAGAUAUAGCCAUUCUUAGGUUAAGUUAAAAUGUAAUAAACCCCUCAAUAGAGAAGUAAAAUUCAGUGAAGGAUAGUGUAAAGCUCAGAAAAGUAUUCUGAAGAAAGUAAUUCACAUCCCUACUGUCCUUUAUCCCUACAACUGAUGAGUUUUCAUCUAGAAUUAAAAUUAAUCGUGUGCACUGUGCAGCAGAUGAUGCAAAAGCUUUCAGACAAAACCAAUUUGAUUUUGGACCACCGAAAGGCCCGUAGGCCAAAAUAAAAGUUUUAGAUUAUAUUUAAAUAAAUAAUAAUAGCAUCAAAACAAACAGCGAGAAAUUGAGUCGAGGAUCACUUCACCCUCAAUAUCUUUUUUGAUAUUAAUAUUUAGCAAAGAACUUUCACUUUUAAAGCCAUAGACUUUUCUGUUGAACUAGCAAUAGUGAAUAAGUGAUUUUCUCGGAAAACUUGGCUCUCUUGACCAAAAUUACAACUCAACUUAAUUGAUCUUAAGUUACGCUCGAAUAAACACGCUUUCAUCAAAAAUUAACAUUCAAAUAUCUAAUGCCAAGGUGUAAAAAAUUAACAUUCAUAAUAUGCUUAGCAUAAAUACUCGGAUUGUUUUGAAAAACAAACAUUUUAUUCCAAGUAAAACUCAUUGGAACAUCAAUAUGCAAUUCAUGUUUAUAUAUAUAUAUAUAUAUAUAUCCCCUAAAGCUGUUACAUGCAAAUAAUUGUAUAAUCAUUGUUUUUUUUUAUUUUUUUAAAUGUACAUGCUCAACGACUAUUAUAAUUUGUCCAAUAGAUUCGAUAGAACCGCCCAAAAAUGAUGAUGAUGUACAUAAUAACAAUGAUAAUAAUAAUAUUAAUUAGCGCCCGUUAACGGCGAGGCAACGGAGUCCGCAAUAGAAGAAAAACGGCCGUCAAAGCCGCAGUUUAACGUGGCACGCCUGGGAAAUGAUCGUCGCGUUCGCCGUUAACUCGUCGACCGUCACGUCGCACCGCACCUUAACGGUCCACGUCCACGUCGUAACGGCGCCGACCUUGGCCCGGACGGGCAGCCGCGCGUCGACCGUCAGCGGCACCGCGCCGUUACGCUGCGCCGUCACCAUCGACGCGCGCGUCGAGGGCGAGAGGCGGAUCCCGGAUCCCGCCAACGGCGUCACGAACUCCGUCACGUUGUCGCGGCCCUGGAAGAACGCGGGCCAGGCGCCGUUGGCGAGGGCGACGGCGCCGUAGGAGGCGGCGACGGAGCCCCCGGGGAGGUAGCGGAGCCCGAUCUUCGAGUUAGGGUUCCGGGCGCGAAUGGCGGCGGCGAGAUCGGGGGAGAUCGGGGAGGAGGAGGAGGAGGAGGAGGGGGCGAGGCCGUUGAUGGCGAGGGAGGCGAGGGAGAAGGAGGGGAGCUUGGGGCGGAGGGCGAAGUAGAGGGCGGCAGCGGCGGCGGCGAGGGCGAGGGCGAGGGCGGCGGCGGCGGCGAGGAGGANCGGGUGUAGGCGGCGAGCUUGGAGGCGUUCUCCGGCGGGGGGACGCGGAAGACCUGGUCCUUGGGGAUCUGGAUGAGGUACGUCCCCGGCGGGGGCUUCGGCUUCUCCGCGAAGCUUGGGAGGUACUCGGCCCGAUCCGUCUCCGUCUCCGUCUCCGGCUCCGGCUCCCGCUCCGGCUCCGGCUUCGGCUUCUCGGGGAAGCUGUUGAGGUGGUCGUCGGGGUGGACGCGAUCCGCCAUGGACGGGAUCGAUCGAAGGUGCGAUUCUUAAUUUCUCCUUAUUCUUAUACUUAAAAUUUUUGAGGUUAUUCGUGGUGGAUGAUAAUAAUCUAAAUAGAUGGGAUUUUGAGGUUUUAGAAGGGAUAUAUAUAAUACAAAAGGGAACGGGGAAGAGAGCGCGUUUAAGGAGUAGUAGUUGUUCGCCUGGAGAGUAUAGUAGGAAUGGAGAGAAACGGUCAUAUUCUGCUUCGAAUUUAAUUAUUAUUUAUUAUUUAUUUAUUUAUUAUUAGAUUUAAACAGUGGUAUCGCGGACGCUUCGAAAACGACACGCGAAACACAUUCAGACAAUGAUCGAGCAAUUAAUUCCCUUUCGCAAAAGAAAUUUUUGAAAAUUGGGUGUAAACCAUUUUCUUUUUUUCUUUUUUUCUUUUUUUUCUCAAAAAAAAAACCAAUAUAAAUAAAAAGUUAAUAAAACUAAUGUAUUUUACGAUGAUAAAUCAUCGUAUAAUUUAUUAAAAAAAAAUAUACUUCAAAUAUCAUUCAUAUAAUUUUAUACUUUUUUACUUAAGUAAUCUGUAUAUAGUUUAAAGUAUAUCAAUUUAGUACUCUAUGGUUUUCUUUUAUAUUUUCAUCAGCUUCUCCGUUAAUAUUUUAUUAAACUAUAUACAAAAACUUUAGAUACCUCAUCUAAAUUUAUCGAAUAUUCACUUUAGUAUUCUUUUCUUUUAACUUUGUCAUUUAUUUAACGAAAAAAAAUUAAUGAAGGCAAUAAUAAAAAGAGAAAAAUAAAAUUACAGGGUAUUAAAUUAAUAAACAUUACACCAUAUGGUACUAGAAUAAAAAAAGUGCAAAACCAUAGGAAUGGUAUUUAAAAUUUUCCCUCUAAAAAGUUAUAUUUAACUAUUUUAUAAUUUAGCGCGAUUUUACUUUUUCAUUUCAUAGUUCAAAAAAUUAUAGUUAACUGCUAUGUGGUUUUAUUUUAUUAUUAGUAAAGCUUGUAGUUAAAUAGGAUAUUUCUUUGUAGUUUUCUAAAAAAAUUUACUUUGCUAUAUAUUAUCCUAUUUGCCUAUUGAUUUUUUCAGUAAAAUAAAAAAUAAAGUUAUAUGAUAGUUAAAUACAAACUUUUGAACCCUCAGUUAGAAAAGUGAAAAUAUUAUUUGUACACCAAUAUAAAUAGGUUUAAUUUCAUACAGGUUCUUACAAACAUGAUGAAUUGUAAAUAUAUUUCUACAAAGUUCAACUUUCAUAUGUUGCCCUUACAAAAAUCCUAAUAUUUUCAAAUAAGUUCAUCUGGGUUGUUAUCGUUAAGGUACUGUUUAUUUUAUAAAUGAAACGACCUUUUUGACAUCACAAAUAUGUUCCCAACUGUUAAUUGAAGAGGGGUGAAAGGUCAAUUCACUUCAUUAACUAAUUAGAGUUAAGUAUUUUACCUAUGAUUAACGAGUUUUUUCUAACGGAUCCAAAUGGCAGGAAUAUAUUUGAAAAUAUCCGAAUUUUUACAGAAACAAUAUUUGAAAGCUGAACUUUAUAGAAAUAUAUUUGUAAUUCACUAUAUUUACAGAGAUAUGUAUAAAAUUAACCCAUAUAAAUAUUGGGUAAACUUCAAGGUGUGAACACUACAAUGGAUCGAUUCCAAAGAAAAGUAAUGUUGUGUUUAUUUAUAUAUUUUGUAUUUAUUUGUUGAGAAAACCAUUUGGCAAAAUUUACAAGUAUAAGAAUGUAGUUCAACCAAGAAAAAUACUAUAAAACUUUUCUUCUUUUUUUUUUUUUUUUUUUUUUUUUUUUUUUUUUUUUUUUUUUUUUUUUUUUUUUUUUUUUUUUUUUUUUUUUUUUUUUUUUUUUUUUUUUUUUUUUCUUACUUUCUGGUAAUGCUGUAGUUAAUUGUAGGUUGCUGACAUAAUUUCAAUAUAACUCAAAGAGCUUUUAUUGGUUCAUUAUUGAAGCAGUGGAAAGUGUAAUGAAAUUUGCCAAAAUAUAGAGAUUUAAUAAAUAAUCAAUUGUGGAAAUUCAAAGCAUUUGUAUUAAGUAAUAUAUAUUAUAACAAUAAAGAACUCAAUUGGGAGUAAAUUUUAUGACAAUUUAUAAACACGCAUGCAUGCACAAAUUUUGUUGGCAAUAAGGUAUGAUUCACGCAAAGGGACAUACAUGACUUGUUGUAUAUAAUAUUACAUAAUGCAUGUUAAAAUGCUAAAAAUCUAAGUAUUUUUAGAGUAAUCAAUUGUUUCGUAUGAUAUCUGAGCAGGUCUACUAAAGUACCUAAGUUUAGUUUUAGCCGUAGUAAAACAUUCAAUAUUUUUGUUUAUUAAGUAUCUUAUUAGAGAUAAUGCAUGUAAAAUGAGAAAAGAUUGUAUAUAUGCAACACUUUGUACAUAUGCACUUGUAGUAAUCACAAACUGUGGACAAAAUAGUAAGGAGGCUCCUAAACGAGUCUAUGGUUCGUGAUGAUUCGUAUUUUUGUGGGUUUGGACUCGGUAUAACUUCGUGCACAAGAUUCGCUAUACACGGGCUUGAUCUCGCCCCUGAAUUUUAGCGGGAUUAAUUCACAUAGUCUAUAUUGGACGAUGCGGAUUAAUUAUGCUAAAAAUCAACGACUAUAUAUGAACCCACUAGGGGUGGCAAUCCAGCUCGUUGUUUGCGAGCCAGCUUGUGUUCGGCUCGAAAUGAGCUCGAGAUCGGCUUGCUCGUUUAGUAAACGAGCCAAACACAAGCUGGAUUUUUCAGCUCAUUUAAUAAACGAGUCGAACACGAGCUGGGGUCAGCUCGCUCGUGUUCGGCUCGAUAACAGCUCGAAUACAUAUAUUUUAUAUUUAUAUAAUUUAUUUAAUUUAUAUUUUAUAUAUAAAUAAAUAAUUAUAUAUAAUAUAUAUUUUUAUUAUUUAAAUUUUAGCAAAAUAAAAAUAUAAAUGCGAGCUUAAUUAUAAAAAGACUCAUUUAUAUGUAAAGUUUCAACUAUUAGAUCAAGUUUAUAGAUAAGAUUUUAUAAUUUAUUUUUAAUAUAUAUUUAAUCUAAUCUUUUUUAAUUUAUUAUUCGUUGGCAGCUCGUGAGCCAGCUUGUUUCGGCUCGUUAAUAAACGAGCCGAACACAAGCUGAAUUUUUCGGCUCUAUACUUUAACGAGCCAGCUCGUGUUCGCUCGUUUAAUAAACGAGCCGAACACGAGCCGACUCCAGCUCGCUCGUGUUCGGCUCGUUUACACCCAUAGAACCCACUGCAUAAAAAUUUUUUCACAUGAGAUUAUAGAAAAUUUGUUUUCUAUUUCUGCAAUUCUAUGAAUAUUGACCAUAUAUAUAUUAGUAGAUCUACCUGAUAUAUUAUCAUAUAAAAUAAAUAUAAUUUUGGGUUAAGUUUAAUUUUCUUUUAUGUGAUUUGGUCAUAUUUUUAUUUUGUCAUUCAGUGGCUUACAAGAAAUUAUACCUUUUAGUUUUAUUUUUAUUUUAUCGUCAGAAUUUAUUGUAAAAAUUACAAUAUAGUAUGUAACCAUUUUACAAACUUUAGGUAGUACUGGUAUUAUUUUUCUCUCCGGUUUACCAAUAGGUCUUUACGGUAAAAUAAAAAUAAAAUUAAUUAUUAAAUAAAUAAGUAUAAAUUUUUAACCACAAAAUAAUAAAGGAAAAUUAUGAUAAAUUAAAGAGGAACAAAUAUUCAAAGUAGUAAUAUUACAUGUACAUCUAAAUCUUACGCCCUAAUAUUAAUUUACUAUUCGGUUUACCGUCCCGUCUGCAUAGUAAAAUAAAAAAAAAAUUAUUAAAUUGUUAAGUAUAAACUUUUGAACCAUAAGAUAAUAAAUUUAAAUUGCACUAAAUUACAAAGAGAGACAAAUACAUAUAACAUCUCUUACAUCGAUCCUAACGUCUCAAAAGAUUAGAUUUACUCACUUGUUACAUCAAAAUUCUUUCCAACAUUAUUUAUAAAGUAUACAGAUUAUAUUUUUUAGCUAGAAAUAUAAAGUAAUUAUACUGUAAACUUAAACUCAGAUAUAAACCAUCAAAUUCUUAUACAUCAUAUAUAUAUAUAUAUUUUGUUAUGCAAAUAUAUAUUAAAGGAAAAUGAAAUUUAUCCGCGUAAGCACACUGAAUAAGCAAGCAAGUUCUAACACGGGGGCGUGUUUUUGUAGAACAGUGGAGUGGCAAACAACUGGCUACAGAUAAAUUGAUGAUGAUAAUAAUAAUAAUAAUAAGUUUAUUAAAAAUGUGUUUAAAUGAGCAGGAUUUUGCCCUGUGUUCACACGUGGAUGUUCACGAAACACCAUGCAAUUUUUUUUAGACCUUUAUUAUAUUUUAUUUAUUAUUAUUUUAUUUUGUGAUUAAUAAUUACUAUUAGUGUCAGGUUGGUGCUGGCUGGGGAUGAAUGUGUCUGGGUUUGCCCAAGCAGGGCAGGUGCAUGGGCCGCCGGCUUUCUCUUUUUAGGGGUGGAAACCUGCUGGCUUAUGUAAACUAUAAAUAAAUUAUUGAAAGUUGGCUAUUUAAUUUUUAAAAAAUUUAAUUUUAUUAAUAAAUUUUAUACAAAAAAUUAUUUAUAUACUCUUCAAAAUUUUUGAAAUAUUUUUAUAUAUUUACUUUUUUUUUUUGUUUCAAAUGUAACUUUUAUAUACUUUUUCGUUAUUAAAAAAUAAUUUCACUGUAAUUACUUGUUAAGGCUUCGUUUGAGAUUGCGGAGAGAUUACAUUACGUGCGAUAAGAAAGUACAAUGAAAAAAUACUCUAUUUUGUAUUCGUAUGUAAUAUUGCGUUCCGCAUAUCGCGAUUAGUCGGUUACGAUAUAUUUUCUACAGUCUUACCGGAGAACGCAGAAGCAUAUCCCUAUAUGUUUUUACCCUAACUCCAUUGUAUGUAACAGCGUCAGAUGAGACUCAAUACCAAACUAAGCUUGAGUUAUUUCAGAUUAAAUCCGUGUUAAAUUUUUACCUGCAGAGAUAAAGAAAAACAAGUCAAAAUAUCUCUUUUGUCCUUAACUUAAGAGCAAAUAAGAAAAGUUUGUAACGAUAUAAAGGUAUAUUUGAAAAGAUAAAAGUCAAAAUAUUUUUUUUGUCUCUAAUUUAAUAUCAAAUAAAAAAAAUUGAUGACAAUAGAAGGAUAUAUUAGAAAAGACAAAAUAGUAAUUUUAUCUCUUACGGAUGUUCUAAGAAUUUAGCUCUAAUGAUAUAUUUGAAAGAAUUUCUAACGUUAAAAUGAUAAUUUUUAGAUUAGCCUUUUAAGUGGGGUGAAUAAAAAAAUCUAAAAUCUUUCAGUGGGAAAUAAGCAAUUACCCCAAUUUUACAAUAUGUUUGAUUUGAAUUAGUCCACAAUAUUUUGAUUAACUCAAAAGUAGAGAGAGAGUGGAAAGAGAAAUUGAGUAAAGAGAGAAUAAUAUGUAGAAGAUUAAUUGUGAGAGGGCUAAGAGGGAAAGUCCCAAAGAUGAAGUGAAUUAAGGGAAAGUAAUUAAGGUGAGUGAAAUAAUUUUUUUCAUUUUAAUAUAUUUUUUAUGUUAUUUUAUUUUAUUGUUUUUUACAUUAGUUUUUUCUUUUAAAAAAUUUAUUAAUAAAUUUGUAUUGGUGGAGAUUAAAGGAAAGUGCAUCUUCCUUAAAAUUUUACCUCCCAUAUCAAAUAUAAUUAAUAGGGGAAAAAUUACAUAAAUAAUAUUUUAUCUUUUUUUUUUUUUUGGACCUUGUAGCUAGGGGUGGAAACGAGCCGAGCUCGAGCGAGCUUAUGUCAGCUCAAAUUCGGCUUGAAAUUAAUUUCGAGCCUAAAUCUAGGCUCAAGCUCGGCUUGAAAUUAAUUCGAGCCGAGCUCGAGCGAGCCUAAUUUCGAGUCGAGCGCAGCUCGAGCUCUAAACGAGCCGAUUGAAAUUCUUGACAUUAUAUAAUCAAUAGUUUAAUUUUUAUAGAACAUUACCUACAAUUUGAUGCAACAUGUCCAAUAGUUCAAAAUACAAAUAAUUAUAAGAAAUGUGAGCUAGGGUGACUUCCUGACUAGAUGAGGGUCUGAGAAGAGAGAGAGAGAGAGAGGAAAAAAAGUAGGAUUUAGAAAUUUGAAUGUUAUCAUGUUUUAGGGUUAUGUGCAACAGUAAAGUCUGAAAGAGAGAGUGUGUUAUGUAAAUUUAGAGUUGGGCUCAAUUGUACGAUUGUACUUGUUGGGUUUAUUUUAUGGGCCAACAAUAAUGGCCCAAAUUAAAUUAAAGCCUAUAUAUAAUUAAAAUGCAUUAUAUUUAUAAAUAUCAUCCCCAUGUUGCUAUCACGUUUUUAGCCAUUAGAUCUACUUUUUGAUUACAAAUAGUCCUUGGAUCAAACACUUUUCCACCUACACCACCUACUACUACCAUCAUCUCAACCUCACAUCUCUCCAUCCAAGGGCUAAAAACACACAAGUAUCACUUGGGUGAUACUUGUAAAAGUAUUCUAGCCUUACUAUAAUAUAUAUAUAUAUAUAUAUAUAUAUAUAUAUAUAUAGUCCAGCUGCUAUACUUUUAUGAGUAUUGGCUCCUUUAUACUCAUAAGUUUUCGACCCUUAGAUUUAUUCCAUUAAUCAUUUUUAUCCAUUAGAUCAUACUAUUUAACCAACUACCCACUCAACCCUAGGAGACCACUAUCAUUCUAAAUGGGGACCACCAUCAUCCUAACCACACAUUCCAUCAAUCAACGGUUAAAAAUUUAUGAGUACAAGGGGGUCUAUACUCAUAACAGUAUAAUAACCCCAGCCUAUAUAUAUAUAUAUAUAUAUUCUCGAGCUUUUCGAGCUUUUCGAGCCUAAUUCGAACGAGCCGAGUAAUACUCAAGCUCGGCUUGAAAUGAAUUUCGAGUCUUUUAUUUUGUUCAAGCUCGGCUCAUUUAAUUUCGAGUCGAGCUCGAGCGAGCCGAAUAUCGAGCCGAACACGAGUCGAACACGAGCCGGCUCGCUCGUUUGCCAGCCCUACUUGUAGCAAACGUGUAGAGAUCGACUCUCUCCUAAUUAAUUAGGAUGUAGUACAUUUACAUAUCUGAGACGUCGCCAUCUUUGCAUGCAUUUUCAACACGUAACAAAUUAAACUUUAUUACGCGUGUUUUGACUUAACCAUAUUUGUCCCUCAACUUUUAUCUAAUUUU